CUCAUUCCCGCAAUCAACGGUCCGACUGCGAUUCUGUCCACGUGGCACCCGAUGCAUGGUUCCCGUCUCAACACCAUAUAUACACACACACACCGCACCAUAUGCCAUCCGCCAUAGUCUAUCUCCACAAAUAUUAAGAUUCGAUUUGCAGAGCAGAAUUUCAAGAGCUAUGGGAUCGUUCGAGACGAAGGUGAAGUUCAGGGCGAACGAGGUGAAGCACCAGCUGAAAAAGGGGGUGAAGAUCCUCAGCAACUCCUUCAAGAAAGGCUGGGCCAAAGUCAAGCACCUCAAGCGCUAGCUAGUACUUAGCUUCAUCUUGUGUUCUUACUCUGUUUCUGGAAAUUUUUUUUGCUCUGUUCAAAUCAGUAAACUUGUAGUAAUUAGGAUUGGGUUUUAAGCUGUGUUCUUGGUUUGUUUGAUAUGGAUUUUGAUGUAACGAUGAUUUAAUUUCGAUUCCCAUAUACACUUUUUUUGUUCAUCUGGUCUCUUCUCUGCUAUCGAGCUAAUCAGUUUUGUGUUUGUUUGAUUGAACGGAAAAGGUUGCCGGUCUCGGGCUUGUUUUUUCAGUUGGUCAGCGAUUCCCAGCCGCCGACGUAAUUAAAUUAGCAUACUUUGUUAGUUAUGAACUUUCCUUGUACACAAAGUUUCGAGCUUUUGAUUCAUCGUGUGACCGGAGGUAGAUGUGACUUGCGUGUUAAGCCAGCCAUGAAGCCCUUUUCCGAUCCAUGAUUCGAAGUCACAUGUGCGAGUUUCGUUUAAAGUGGACAAUACCCUAUCGAUAUUAGAUUGUUGGGUUUAUGUUGAUUCUAACCAGUGAUAUCAGAGCCUCCUUGAUAGACUAUGCAAAUAGAUAGCACCUCAAUUAGGCGCGCCAUUCUCUUUUCAUGUUCAUUGUCUUUCUUUGUGCAGAUGUCUUGAACUUGACUGACAAGAAGCUGAACAAGUUGAUAUCGGAGUUCCCAUCUUUGGAGACUCUUGAGUUGGAUAAGCUCUGGCUGCCACCUUCCAUGAUCGAAAUCGAUGCUCCUGUGCUAACUAAGUUUGUCUACCAUGCCUACGCCGAUUGUUUCCCAGCCAUAUUCUUAUCUAAUGGUUGUAAAGAAACAACCUUCACCGUGUCAUUCAGUUUCAACAAUGGUUUCCAUGAUUUGAAGCAGUUUCUCGUCAAAUUAUCACCUCAAAUCCGCCUCACUCAUGUACAUUUCACUGAUCCUGCCGGCGGAGACCGGGUGAGCGAGUCCAUAUUUCCUGUUUCUUUCAUAACCAGUUUUAAAAUUAUGUUUCUGUUCACACUUCAUUAACACAACGCCGGAAGACAGAACUACACACGGUUCGAGCUGGCAGUACAUGUGCAAGCAAUUCACGGAGAGAGGGUCGAACAACCACUGUAAACUUCCUGUAUGCCAAUGUUGGCGACAUCAACUAAAAGACGCCAAGAUAGCAAGUACAACGGGAAACAAUAAACCAGUCUUAACAUAUCCUCAAUUAUAACCUCAGCUCUUGUCAACCAAGAAGAAAUUUGGUUUGUUUUGGACUGGAACUGAAGUUUCUCUGCGGUUGUGGUUUCGUUUGGUUCCGAUUUCUCAAGUUUCUCUUCCAUGGCUUUAAUUUUGAUUCUCUCCAUUUGUUGAAUUUGUGUUAUUAGUAUGAUCUCCAUAGCUUAUCUCUCCAUUAUUUACACAACUGGUAUCAGCUUCAAUUUUUGGAUAAUUAUUAAUUUAGUUUUAAUUUGAAAUAUACUUAUUUUUAAAUUAAUCUGGACCGUCCAUUAAAUCUAAUUAUUUCUUCUCUUUGUCUUCCAUCUCUCUUCCAUCGCCGACCUCCGAUCUCUUCUCUUCGAUGUUGAUUCUUUGAAAUUCGCCCUCUCCGAUUCCAAUUCUCAGCUCUAGUUCAUGGUUGGACCGCGACAGGCUUCUCUCGACUCCUUAAUAAAGGAUCAGAUCAUCUCUCAAAACAUUUACUUGGCUCUUACUCUGAUUGUUUUCCUGCACGAAACUCCUUCAUGCUGGAGAAGAAGAUUUCGAACUGUCCAACGGUUAGAUAAUGAAGUCGCAUAUUUAACAACACGUCUAUCUUUCAGAUAUCUUUCAAAAGUAUUACUAAUAAUUCUCACUCUUCAGACAUAGACAUAUCAUUAGAUUGAUGUGUGUUUGCUAUCCUAAUUUUCGCAAAUUCUCAAGGAAGUACCCAAUCUUUCCUGAUCCUUUACUCCAACCCACUUCUCCUCAUUACAACCCGGAAUCUGAGAUCCAAAAAAUCCGAAUCUCGCCCACCCACCGUCAACUCAUAAAUCCUCACCGUCCAUAAAUCCAAUCGCACGGCCCAAAACUCACCCAACGGUAAGAAAAAUAUCUAAUAACUCCGUUUCCAUUUAAGACACGCAAAUCCCGCGGUUCACAGUUGGCUGAACUUGCCUGUUCUUAUCAAUAACCCGCCCGCAGAUUUACCAUCCUACCCCCAUCUGCUUCCUGAAAUCCGUUAAUCGGUUCGUUGUCUUCCUCCUCAAACAUUGCUCAUCCAAAUUCUGAAUUCUUCAGUCUGCGAUCUUGUUUGGGAGAAAAAGAUCAGUGAUUCAGAGUGGGUUAUCGGCUUUUUGUGUGAUUCUCCGUUCGGUUCUCGAUCUCUCUUGGCGGCAAUAUCAUUUGGCGAUGAUGUCGUCCAUGGAAGAUUCCUGCUGCUCACGUCCGCAUCUUCUCUCCAUGGCUCGCGUUUCCCUCUCUGUCUCCGUGCGAACUAGACGAUCUCCGGUGAAUCGGAUACCGACUGGCCUACGAAUACCUACGCCUAGCGCCUGCUGAAUAAUCAUCUGGUUCGGUUAUUACGUCUUCUCUUUUGCUUCCGUUAGUUUCUCUUUAUUGUAAAUCUCUGCUCGCUAGAUUUGAAUUAGAGUUUGAACAGAUACGUUAGUGCUCCAGUACUAGUUUCUCGUUCUGCUUGUGGAGUUUCAGAGAAUUGUGAAAGAACUCGUUAAGGUUGGAUAAACGUUUGGUUUCACGAACUGCUAGAUAUCUCAUCGUUUGUGUAUAGAGAGUUUCGAGUUUUUCGGCCUCUGGAAGUUAGGAUAAUGGCUGGAAAGUGGGAAGUGGGGCUUCUGCACAAGAGUGGUGGUGUGUGUAGUUUGAAAGACCAACUAGUGAAAGCGACUCUUCAGAGAGUGAGGUCGCAAGGGCAUCCAUAUGUGGAGCUUCGAACGGACGGGAAGAGGAAUAUCUUCUUCUGCACUCUGUGUCUUGCGCCGUGCUAUAGUGAUUCGGUGUUGCUCGAUCAUUUGAAGGGGAAUCUACAUACUGAAAGGCUGUGUGCUGCUAAACUUACUCUUCUGAAGCCGAACCCUUGGCCAUUUAGUGAUGGUGUUCAUUUCUUUGACACCUCUAGUGAGAAUGGUAAAGGUCAAGGUAAUGGGGAGAAUGGUAAGAGUAGUAAGUUGAUUAUGGAGCCUGAGAGGAGAAAUUCUGAUGAUUUUGCAAUUGUUGCUUAUGGUGAUAAGGAUUCGAAUCAGACUGGAGGGAGCUCUGAUAUAGUAAUUCCUGGUGUGCUCAUUGAGGAAGAGAUUUCUGAUUUGAAGGUUAGGUUUAUAGGCACUGGACAGAUUGCUGCAAGGUUCUGCAAGAAGGAUGAGAUUAGUAGAAUAUGGUGUGAAUGGUUGGGGGAAAAGGGCAGUGAAGCCGAACUUCCGGAACACAAAUAUGCUGUUGUUACAUUCUCUUAUAACUACAGUUUGGCAAGGAAGGGAUUGCUUGAUGAUGUGAAGUUGCUCCUCGGUUCUACAUCAAUGUCAUGUGAAGAUGGAGUCGAGACUACUAAUGGGAAACGAAAGAAAUCAUUUUCUGAUCCUGAAGAUGUUAGCAAGUCGUUGAGUCAGAGUAACAACCAGUAUGAUUCGUCCGGGGAAGAAUCUUCCGCUUCCAAUAGUGCUUCAUCUAAAUUGCUCUUGAACAACCGGUAUGAUGACGAGCUCCUUCAAUCUCGGUUUUUGUCCAGCAAGACUGUCAGGCGUGAGCUUAGAAAGCAACAGCGUAUAGCAGCUGAAAGAUUGUGCGAUAUAUGCCAGCAGAAGAUGCUUCCUGAUAAGGAUGUUGCAACUCUUUAUAACACCAAGACCGGAAAACUUGCUUGUGGCAGUAGAAACACCAAUGGGGUAACGAUUUUCCGUGAUUGUUUACAAAAUCUGGAUCCAUAGUCAAUUUUUUAACAUUUAUAUGGUUUCACACAGGCAUUCCAUGUAUUCCACACUUCCUGCCUCAUUCUCUGGGUACUACUCUGUGAAUUUGAAAUGCUUACUACGAAGCCAGCCGGUUCUAAAGGCAGACGGAAAUCUCGGAGGAAGAACAAUGGUAAGCAAAACGGAAGAGGUAAAGCGACCGAGAACAAUAACAUCUUGAAGACCCAAAUUAGUUCUGUUUUCUGCCCAGAGUGCCAAGGAACUGGCGUGGAUGUUGAUGGUGAUGAGCUUGAGAAACCAGGAUUCCCCCUCUCAGAGGUUUGCUUUUCUGUUUCAUAGUAACGAAUGCCAUUAACAAUAAAGAUUGAAUCUGGCAGUACUAUAUUGAACUUAUGCACUCCUUUGUUUGUUCUCAGAUGUUCAAAUACAAGAUGAAAGUGAGCGACGGGCGUCGAGCAUGGAUGAAAAGCCCCGAAUUGCUGGAGAAUUGCUCCAUGGGAUUCCACUUCCCUCCCCAGGAUGAAGAAACCUUCGAGGUUCGCGUGAUCCGCUUUCUGUUCUUCUUACACCCAUUGCCCGUGAAUGUAUUAAUCAACUCUUUCCAUUGUCUCGAAACCUCAUGUUUUUUUCGCAGGAGGAGGUUUCACAGAUGAAGUUGCUCCACUUCUACAGAGCCGAUUGCUAGUGGUUUAACUCUGAAGUUUGAAGGUCUGGAUGUAUAUCUCUUAAAUCUAUGUUUUAACUUAGAAGCUCUCUGUGAAAAAAUGCUGUAGAAAGGCGAUUUGUGAACAAAGGAUUCUGUAGACAGUAAUUUUAACCGUGAUUGCUGAAGACUUACUGUGGUAAAAAGAGAGGCAAGGAGAUGUUAAUUCUGUAGAUUGGGGUCCCUCUUGACAAUUUGUUCCUCUCUGUAAUGAAAAAUCCUGACUUUUCAGUUAUAAGUUUGUAUUUUGCAGUUUGAUUUUGUCACAGUCGACUGCCCAAAUUCUUGACUCGGUCCGGGCAUCAUUCUCGAGCUGGCAUAGUUGGUUAAUGGUUAGGCUAGUUUGUCAGUUAGAUCACGGUCAUGAAUUUGACUUAAUAGUUGAUCGUUUCAAUUCAAGUUUCAACCUUUUUGUGCCGGGUUGAACCCUAACCAACCAGACCGAUUUCCCACCCAUUGAUCCAGUUCCCUAGAUGGUUUCACACUAUUUUUCUCAAGAGUUAACAUCAAGGUGUUCUAACCGGACAAGUUUUGACUUCAUUCAAGUGAGGUCUAAGUUUUGAAAGUUCAAAUCUUCACAUUAGCGGAAAAGUACGUAUAUGAUUUCUAAAUAAUUUGGGUUUGAACCCUGUCUCUGAUACUGUCCUCUAGACCAAGUUUUGCAAUAGGUUACGGUAGUUUUUUUUCGUCAAGGGUAUACAUAAAAGAUAAGAGGUAUAUACAUGUUACAUAACAUAAUAACGUAAAUCCGAAGGGCGCGUAGACGAUAGUGGAAACUGAAAGGAACGAUGAUCGAAACGAAUGUAACCAAAUCGCAGUUGACUAGCAUCAGUUCUUUUAAAAAAUUAUUGAUAUUGUUAUGGUUGUUGGUAGGAGUAUGUAUGGAUUAACAUGAAUGUACAUCCAAAACAGUAUUCGUUGCAGGAAGGAAUGAUUCACUUAGCAUAUUAAAUUGAUGUUGUGGUUGGUGUUGCUGCACAUGCCACCGCGAAAUCACGCGGAGAAUUGCUGUACAUUGCAGACAUGAUCAACAACAUCACAGACCAAGUACUAACUAAUUAAUAUUGACAUUCCAUUUGUCAACCAUCGAACCAAUCAACUGCAAAAAUUCCACCUUUACUUAGUCCAUCGUCAUAAACCCAGUUAAUGUUUAUAUUAUUAAGGGCCAAGUCAACUCUAUUUACGCAUGUAUAGAUGUGACUUCCUCACCCACAGGCUGCAGAGCAUCCAAAAUUCCAGUGCCGGCAUCAAACCCUUACAAAAUCUCAGUUGACAAAUCCAAAUCAUUAAACUAAUCCCUCUCCUCCACACCUAUAUAUAUACAUAUCCAAACUCCAUACAGCAAGAAUCAUAACAUCUCUAUCUCGAAAAUGGCGGCUUUCAACAAGAAUUCAUCUUGCUCGUCGCCGUGGUUCUUCGACUUGCUGAAGCUGGUGAUCUUGGUGGGUUUGUUGUGUGCUCUAACUGCGGUGCCAACUAGAGCAGCUCGGCCUGCCCCCGAUAGACGAGCAGCUCUGGCUGUUCCUGAUGUGGUUGUAUAUGAUCGACCCGGUGAGGCUAAUGGUAUGAGCGAGGAGGACGUUAGAGGGUUGGUGGGGGCAAUGCUGCCUAAAGGUGUUCCCUUGCCGCCUUCGGGUCCUAGCCCUGACAUCAACUGAUCAUCAGAAUCCUUAUCCUCUGCAAAUUUUGGCAUCAAAUGUUGGGGCUCUAUUAUUUUCUUCUUUGAUUGAUUGUAGCUAGGUUAUACAAAGUCACAAAGGUAGUAUACAUGUAGUAAUUACAUACUUUGCCUUGAUUUUGGGGGCUUUUUUCCAAUGUCUUUCUCCUAUUAUAGUUAUCAAUAUAUUCAUUGAUUUACUCAUAUGAUUACUAUUUUGUAGUGGGUUUUGGUUCGUUGUUUAUGCUCUUCUCGAUGCGGUUUUAAACCGGUUCAGAUACUCGUGAAUACGUUUUGUAAAUUUAGUAUAACGUAACUUUUCACGACUAAAUUCGAUAUUCAUGUUUAAGGGGCAGUUAUCGCCGUCGCCAAGCACAUAUGUGAUGACAUUGAGUUGGACGAGUUUGUGCUUGGAUGUUUAUCGAUAUUAUCACGUAAAUUUACAAAUUUAAGAUACACUUGUUAGGAGAGGUCGAAAUAAGAUAGUUAGACAUUCGUAGUUAUAGUUCUCAUGUCAUUGGGAAGUAUCUCCGGUUUGGUUGACUGGAUCGAUUUAUGCCAUUUGUGUCUUUUAGCACUUGUGAUUUUAUGUCAUUUGUGUCUUUUUAUUACUGCUGAAGCCAGUAAAUUAUUGAGCGAUGACGUGGACUUUUAACUGGAUCUUCCGGGUCAAAUGGUUGACUUGGUAGGGUGAUGAAUACUCCACGAGUAACUUUAUUCCCCUACGCGCUGACUUUUAUUUGCAAACAAUCAGUUGACAUUUUAGUCAUUGAAUUUAAUAUCAUUAAUUAAAUCGGUGUAAAUUUAUUGUUCACGUAUAGUCAGCAUGGCUGACUAUUUAUAACAACAACACGGUGUUAUAAAUAGGUCAUCAAUUAGUGAUUUGGGGUCGAACCAUCCGAGUCGAAAGGUGCUAGUUGUCUUCUCGUCGAUCACAAUAAUUAGUGAGUUUAAUGAGCUAUAUUAUAUAUAUUAUGUCAUCACCAGCACUGUUAGCAUGACUAGUCUCUUGGCACUCGAUCAUCAGUCUUUCACGGUUACGAUUGCUCCCACUAGUUCGGUCGGAGCUCAACUCGAACCGUUCCACACAAAUGGGUCUUUGAACACUUGAGUUUUUCACCUUUUUGGAGGCAACUCAACCAUGAACCAAAAUCAGUGAAUCAAAUCGGUUAAUUGGAACUCGGACCUUGGGAAUGUGUACGGUAAUCUCUUGAACAUCUACGCACAGGAGAAUGUGUGGAGAAAGCUGAAGCACUUGUACAGGAAAUGAAGAAGAAAGGGAUGGCGAAUUUCUCUUAUCCUUACAACUUGCUGAUUAACCUUUACUGCAAAGUCGGCGACUUUGAAAGAAUCGAUUUGCUGCUCGAGGAGAUGUGGAUCAACGGAAUCACCCACGACAGGUUCAAUACCAACAACCUCGUUGCAGCUUACGUUGCUGAGCCGAACAUUCCACGGAUGGAAGAGAUGAUUUCCAAGAUCGGGGAUUCGGUAAUGUCGUGGAGUCUGUACACGACGGCAGCAAACGGAUAUACGAAGGUGGGAUCGAUGGAUAAAGCACUGGAAAUGCUGAAGAAGGCUGAAACAAUGAUGCCGAAUCACGGCAAAACAGCUGCGGUGGAGUUUUUACUUACUCUGUACACGAAAGUCGGCGAAAGAGACGAGCUUUAUCGUACCUGGAACGAUUACAAGCCGACUUUUGAGCCGUUUGCGAAUCAGUAUGGAUGCAUGAUCAGUUGCCUGUCGAAACUCGACGAUCUGGAGGGAGCGGAGGAGGUUUACAAGGAGUUUCGGUCGCGAUGUAGCGGAGUGAUGGUGGAUUUUCGGGUGGUGAAUAGGCUUUUGGUGGGUUAUUGCAGGUGGGGGAUGAUGGAGAAGGCUGAAUCUUUGGUUGAGAAUGCUGCAGGGGGGGAAGGUGAGUUAUGCGAGUACUUGGCAUAUAAUGGCGAGAGGGUAUUUGGAUGCGGGGAGGAGGGAGGAGGCGGUCGAGAUGUUGAAGAGGGCGAUGGCAUUGGGGAGGAGCGAAUGGAGGGCGAGCGACGGAGUGUUGGAAUCGUGCUUGGAGUAUUUGGAGAAGAAGGGUGAUGCUCAAGGGAUGGAGGAGGUUGCGAAAUUGUUGAAGGGGGUUGCGAAUGAGUUUUCGGGAGAUUUGUAUCGGAGGUUGGUGAGGACUUAUGUUGCUGCUAAACAGUCUGGAUAUGGUGUUCAGGAGGAUAGUUUGACGAGCAAUGAAGCUACUGCUGCUUGAUGAAGCAACAAUCGAUCGACGAAGAUCGGUUUGUUCGGGUAUGGCGAAUGAAGUGAAGGUUGUUUUUAUGGUGGAUUAGGUGAUGGACAUUUGAGAUGCAGAGUUGUUGGUUUGUUCAUGUAAUUAGCGAUGGAUAAUUAUAACUUGUUAUUGAUGAUUAUAACUAUAGUUAGAUUACUAGUUAAGGACUAUUACUUCAAUACUAUAAUUGAUUAUAACUAAUUAUUCAUAUAAUAGAUGGUUAUAACUAAUUAUUUCAAAAUUACUCACUUUCUCUUGUUAGUAUUGAUUUAUUCACCUCACAUUGGCUAGCAUAAAAUAAAUGGAAAUAUACAUUCAUUAUUUCAUUACUGCCAACUUUAUUCUACACAUGGAUUCAUCUUAUCCUGAAUUUUCUUUUACAAUAUUGAUUUAUUCACAUUAAUUAGCAUAAAAUAAAUGGAAAGUCCAAGUAUAGAAAUAUAAAUUUAUCACUAAUUGACUACUAACUUAUUAUGCCCCCUAUGUAUAUAAAAUACAUAUUCAUCAUCUUAACUUGUAUUCACAGUAAAAAAAAAAAAACUUGUAUUCACUUGCUCACUAGCCAUGGCUGUGGCUCCCUUAUUGAUUGGAGAUUUGCAUACUGCUUGCCGGAUUUACAAGGAGAGAGUACGGUUGAUUUCGUGCGGAUUGUUAUAGGUGGCGGUGUCGUUUCAACUUCCUUGAUCAAUGAUGUGUCAAAAUUCUUGCUUAGGUUGGAAGUUGUGAGCGUGGGGGAUGUUAGAAUACCGUUUCAAGACCUCGUUAGUAAAGAUCAGACCAUCAUGAUUGACUCUGGUACGACAUAUACGAUGUUCCCCACUGAGUUCUUCUUCCAGCUGUCGUCUGAGGUGGCAAGACAGAUUGCCUGGAGGAAGAGAUUAGUGAUCCCACCUAACUCAUUCCUCAGCCUCUGCUACGAGUGGGUCCCGCAGCUAGUCCCAUCAAUGCUCCUCUCAUCACGAUGUAUUUCCUCAGUGCCAACUUGGAGCUACCUUUCUCCAAUAUUUUCAUCCAUCUCAGCAAUACGGUGGCGUGUUUCAAUAUUCUCCCGGCUAAUGAUAGCAUCACAAUUUACGGCCAAUUGUCGCAGAUUAAUUUUCUCAUUGAUUAUGAUCUUCAAAGCAAUGUUGUGUCUUUUAAGCCAUCCGAUUAUGACCACAAGUAAUUUUCUUUUUAGUACAUGACUAAGUAGUCAUGAUCAAUGUUGGCCCUUCCUCUAAUUUAUAGACUAAAUGAAGUGAUAACACACAUUGCUAAAAAAAGUGGUUCAAGAGCAGUAUAAUUGGGUGCGGAAUUGUGAACCAAAUUCCCUCAACCCUUUGAUCUCUGGCGUCAAAUUGUAGCCGUUGGAUUGGUUCAUCAGCAACUGCUGAUGAAUCAUGAUUUUAUACCCAAGCCAUUUUGGUUCUUAGAGGGCAUUGCCUUGUCAUUCACGUCACACCAAACAAAUAAAAAAAACCAUUAUUGGCUUUAAAUUCAUGAUGUCUAUAUGUUGCCAAAAUAGUCAUUGAUUGCAAGAAUUGAACUUGAUAGUAUAAACAAUUUUAAAUUUAAAUUUAUCAAUAACCUCCAUACCUCUCAACAACUUGGGAGGGAGGGGACACAUUCUAAAUUGUGAAACAACUACCCAAAUGGCCAAACCAAAUCUUUGGAAGGUAGAUAGGAUCGACCACAUAUUAAGUCAAAAGCAUCCUUCACCUUUUUUUUCGCAAUAGAAUUGUAUACUAGUUACUUGUAUAGAUGUUAAAAUUACAUUAAACUGCAUAUAGAUCACUUACAAUUAAAAAUCUAAAUUCAAAAAUGAGUUAGAUCAUCCGUCAUUAAAUCGAUCAGGCUUGUACUUAUCUUUUGAAAUCCCUAUCUCGAUCGAACCAAUAUACCCUCAUUCUUUCAUAACUACCUAUAGAAUGGACAUUGAUGCUCUCCAUAGAGUGGUCCAUGGAAGGAAAGAGACCAACAUAGCAUAAUUGACUAGAUAGGUGAAACUUUGAGUUAAAAGGGGCUUACUUGGAGAAGACUUAUCCACAACCCCUGAACUUAGUCCCUACCACACAACUAACUCUAGGCAUCCUAUCCAAUUUCCAACUUCCCCCCCUCCCUCUCCAACUCCUUUUGCAGCCACAAUUAAAUUAGAUAUCAUGAAUCGUUGCAUCUUAAUAAUUUUAGUUAUAAUUAGAAGAGGGUUUAGAUAGAUUUUAUAUAAAGUGUUUAUUAAAGCACCCCAUCAAACAGAAGCUCUCAGAAAAGCGAGGUUACGUUUGUAAGUCAUAUUUAUGGAAUGGGGGCUACUAGAAUUCGAAAUGGAAACUUUCGGUCUCUAAAACUCUUAUACCAUGUCAUGAACCGUUACAUUAGAAUAACUUGAUUAUCGAAAGAAGGUUUAGAUAAGUUUUAUAAUAUUUAUUUAAACUUAUAUCCUUUGUUGGUUGAAAGGUAGAUCUACACAUCACAAGUUUCAAUUCCAUUGGAGCAAUUGAUCACCUACAAAAGAACACUAUUGAAUGAGCAAAUCCUAUGGGUCCUUCCUUUUGAUAUCUAUAUGGUUGAGGAGUUCAUUCAUUUGAAACUAAACUUGUUAGGUAAUGAAUGAUUGAGUCACAAUGUUGGGUAUUCUUACAUGCCAACAAUUUGAAUGGUUAAGAGAAGUUCAAAAUUAAUGUAUAUAAUAGUUCUUAAUAUGCACCCACUUAAAUAAAAGGUUGUGGAUGAGGAUUGUACUCUGUAUCCGUUGAAAUGAAUAAUUAUAUCGUGUUUCAUAUUUGAUGUUAUGCCUUUUUGAUCAAAAAGACUUUAAUGUAUUAAUACUAUGUGUAAAAAUGUUACAUUUCGAUAAUUUAAAUUGGUAGGAGAGAUUUAUAAUCAGUUUACGUAAUAUUUUUUAAUCGAAGUUAUUAUUCAUCCUAAUACUUUUUGGUUGAAAAUAAAAUUAGGAAACGAAAAAANNNNNNNNNNNNNNNNNNNNNNNNNNNNNNNNNNNNNNNNNNNNNNNNNNNNNNNNNNNNNNNNNNNNNNNNNNNNNNNNNNNNNNNNNNNNNNNNNNNNNNNNNNNNNNNNNNNNNNNNNNNNUAUGCAAACGCCCCGCCCACCUUCACCCCGCCAGUCACCGGGCAGCGGUGGCUGGACCAGGUCCGACCGGAAUGGUUAAACCGGCGGCGACACUAUGGAUCAAAAGCUCGAUUAUUUUUUUCAGAACAAAACAAUACACAUAAAAACACAACAGACAAGGAAGAAACAAACUCUGCUCAGCGAUUUCUCCGCCGCCAUCAUCUGCCUCCUCACACGUGGACUACUGCUUCCGCCGCCACCGCCGUCCAUCUCAUACGGCGGCAUAUAGUUCCCGGCGAAAACAAUCUCCCCCAACAUCCCCACCACCGGAAUCGGAACCCGACCCGACAGCUCCAACCCACCACCCCGCAACAUCGACUGCUCGUACCGCCUCCGCCGCAGAGUCUCCGGCCGACGAGACGGACUCAUCCUCCGCAUCACCGGCGCCGGUGGCCUCCUUGGAACGGCCGAUUUCGCCCCGGCAACGUCACUCGUCUGGCCGUGUGAGAACAGAGGGAUUAACUCCGAUUCCGAAACCUCUGAUUUACAAACCGGGCAGCGACCGUGCGACUGCAAUUCAUAGUAAUCUUCAUCAUCGUCGAGGUUGUCGCCGGCGGCGGAGUUCAGCCAUUUGUAAAUGCAGGGCCAGCAGUAGAGAUGGCCACACAGAGUAACGACUGGUUCCGUAACGGAAUCCAAACAGAUGUUGCAAUCGAAGCCGUUAGUUGACGGACUUUUGCUUCCUUCUUCUUCUUCGCCGGAUUCCAUUACAGUCUCUGAAACAGAGCUCCCCUGUUUCCCCCUGAAACUUUUGUAAUCGAGCUCCUCCAUUAAUGUCCGAUCCAUUGUGUACAUAACAUCUGAGAAGAAACAACCGUGAUUAGAUGGAAUUUAAUUGGAGCAGGUGGGAAUUGGGACCAACACGGAUUGAAUUUGAUAAUAAUUAAUUUAUGCUAAAAAUAGAAGAAAAAAAUCUAUGAUCAGUCAAUGACCCUCUACGACCUGGUUGGCCACCUGAAUAUUGAAUUGAUUGAACAGAAAAAAAACACCAUUGAAACUUGAAGCAUGAGCUUGGAAAUCUGUGACAGAAUCCUUGUCUAAUCCAGAGCAAGCAAAUAAUGAUUUUUAAAAAGGGGAAGAAGAACAAAGAGAAUGAUUGAGAAACUGGGAAUAUCUAUCAAAAACAGAGGAUUCCCUGAAAACAGAGGAACAAAGAAACAGUGAGAUCUGAGCUAUGGUGGAUAUGGUGGGUCGAAUUAAGACGUAAAUAUGACACUUAUCACCGAAAAAAAGCUGAGGAAAGGAACAAAAGAGAUGAUGAUGAUGAUGAACGAUGAAGAAGACAAAAAGCUUUGAAUGCUCUGUCAGCUUAGUAGGGUAGAGCAGAGUAUACUAUGUUUAAAUAUUUUUUGUCCCGUAGAAUGAAAAUUAGCUACAAAGGGAACAGAUUGCCACUAACCCAAAUUCAGAAUCGAAGGAUUAUGAACAGAACUGGGGAAACAAGAUGCUCUCUGUCGCUAAGUAGAAGCUUUUUUUGUAGGGUAAAGCAGAGAACUAUGUUUACUUCUUUCCGGUUUUUUGGGUCUUUCUGAGAACAGUUUUCAUCUAACCAGAUGCAGAACUGAAGGGAACUGAUCGUUUCCCAGAAGGGUUAUGAAAUUCUGAAGGGAGAAAGAAAGAUGCUUACCAGUUUUGCCAAUUUGGGAACUGGAUUUUACUGUGAGGUCGCUGGUUUUGUUCUAUGUUCUUGAUUUUGGGAACGGAUUUGUGGGGUUUUCAGGUUGGGGGAGAAGAAACUAGGCUUGAUUGAGGCAGGGGAGGGAUUUUGUUUGUUUUUCUGGAAAUGAAGGGACGAUGAAGAAGAGUGUAUAAUGUAAUAUUUAUCAAGGGUUAAAUUACUUUAUAAGGCACUUUAGGAUGGGAAAGGUGCAGAUUGGUCACUUGAAUUCAAAAACGUAAUAUUGGACAUGAUUAUCUUGGACCUGACAGAAUCGUCAUAUUCCAUCGCUUAGUUGAAGUAGUUAGUCGAGUUAGUAGAGGGCAGGGCAAGUCAUGUUCUUAGAUCUAUCUCAGGUCUGACCCAAUCCUCGUCACUCACCAUCAACGGAUGAGAUCUUGCAUAAGGUAAGUCAUCAACCAAUUGUCGCCUUGUGAUAGCCCGACCCAUAACGCAAGGAGGCUAUACGAAAGGCAAAAUAUCCACAGUAUUUAUGACAGAUCAAAUACCUGAUCUCACACACCUAGACUACGCUUACACAGAUCAUAUAUUUAGAACUAGUCAUACGUCUACAAACACACUCUCAAUAUUUUUCUGCGUUACAAAGAAUUGCAUACACCUCAAUUCCCCUUAUACUAUCAUUCGUUUACUAUUUCUUCCCUUAUACACUUUGUGAGGAAUCGUUUUUGUAGACGUCUAGACACGUAAGAGGAAUAAUGCAUCAACCUACUCAAAACAUAUUCGACAUUCCAAAUUAAAUCAUUUAUUAGUCCACCAGCCAGUUGGGCAACACAAUCAUCCAUAUAAAAUUUCAGUGACUAAAACAGACAUUUAACCUAUUAAGUAUUUUAUCUAUAAGUUGGCAAGAAAACUUAUGGAAAAGAAAAAAGAAGAGAUAACAUUUUUUCUUCUUCUUUUUGUUGUUUGGUAUAAACAAACGGAAAGAUUCUUCCGUUAGCGUUAUAAACAAACGUCGUCUUUUGCUUCUCUUUUGGCCUUUCUAAUCCGUCUCCUUCUUUCUAAAGGGAUCACAACAAGAAAUGGUAUCCAUACUUCAUCUUUUUCAAUAUUUAGUACAUUUCUUGCUGUUUUAUACCAAAAUGGUCAAGAGUAUAAUCUUACACAUAGUUACCCUAAAUCCCAUAGAGUUGGCAACAACAUAUAUAUAAGACAAAACAUAAGAACAAAGAAAGUGUUCACGUCAAUUAAUCAUAGAUUUUACUUUACACCAAAUUCAAACAACAACAUCGACAAUACCGAGGAAACCAUUACUAAAACACGAAAGAUAUAUCAAAUUGAAUUUCGCCCCAAUUGUAUACAAGACAAACCAACCGGUUAUUCUUCGUAGAGUUCAACGAACCCUACAGUCUACGCCAUUGGAGCUGUCCUUGCAAUGACUGUCAAACCAUCCGACUGGGUAGUAUUGGUUGAUGAAGUAGAACAUGUCAAGGGCACAAGUAGUGUUCACAUCGUUGAGUUCGUCAGAAUAACGACAAGCUAGCUCUUUGAAACCAUCACAACACUUGCGCACCGGGAAUGGUGGCUUGCACGUCUUGAACAGAGGCAUGUAGCUUACUUUCUCGAAAUCCAACUGGCAAGCUAGGUGAGUGGGGAAAAAGAGAAAUAUGUCGGUCAGUGAUGGAAAAAUCAGGAUGAUUAGAAAUCAGCGUAUAUCCUACAAAUACUAUAAUAUGCAUAUGGUACACAAGGUAUUUUUAUCAAAUUUUGUAAUGCAGUUUUAUGAUGAUUUCUAUAUCAGCAAACAUUAAUCGUUAUGUGAAUGGAAAUGUAGUGUUUUUUUAAGAACCAAUUUAAUUUACAGGGAUAUUAGGAUUUUGGUUGGAUCAUGGGAGAGUAAAUCAGUGAAUGAUCAAUGUUUAUUAUAAUGUUUUUAUAUCGGUUAACCAUGAUUCGAUUGUACAAUUUUUGGUUAUGGAUAAGGCGUAUUUUACGGGUAACUUACGUUUCGUAGGGAUUACGAAGUGAUUUUUCGAGCUACCAAGUUGGCGAGCAUCUUGAACCAUUUCCCGACCCGGGUGGUGAGUCAUGUUGUUGGCUUGAAGAGCUUCAGCUGGGAAAAACAAAAAAGGACUAAUUUGUAAGAAACCAAAACAAAAGUCUCGAAAAUGCAAUUCUAAAUAAUUACCGAGAUCUUACGAGAGAUGAAAUGAGAGGUAGCAAUUUGAAGGAGGAGAACAAAGCAACCCAGCCAUAUGAACACCUUGAGAGAAACCAUUUUUUCUUUUUUCUUUUUAAUUUCGUCGAGUUAUUAAUCUAAUUUUUUUAUGAGAUUAGAUUGAAACGAAUAUGUAAAUUGAUCUCCAAGUUUAAUGGAGCUCAGAGUCUCGGUGGUUUUUUUCGAUAUUGGAGUUUUCUUAUAAUCUCCGUAUUUUCUUUUAACCGUGAAAUCGUGAAGAACAAGUCAAAAUCAAUUAUAAGGGGAAGAUUCAAUCACGGAAGAAUGUUUUAUGUCAAGAAUAGGUCGGUUGCUUAUCUCUAUUUUUGGCUAUUAGUCUUGCCUCACACUAAUAAUCACCUCAUGGGAAAAUGGCUAUGUCUUCGAGGAAAAGUGACAAGAGAUUAGUGUAGAGCAUGGUUUCGAAUAAUUAGAGAUGUCCAUAGGGAAUGUGGGAUGUUCGUUUGUUGUGGUUUUGGGGUUUGUUUUGUUUCUUUAAUUUGGAUGUCUUGAGCCGUGCUUAACUUUAACGAUGAGUCAGUAAAAAUAAUUCGAUUUAAAUUAUUUUGGAAUUAAUUAAAAAAUUUAUCCUCCAACGGAUGAUUCAAUACAAGAAAAAUCACUAUUAAUCAUGAUUUUCAGCAUUAUUAGAGGAAAAUGAAUGAAUGGCAAUAAAUGAGCUAGGAUUAGGGUUGCUUUUAUAGAAGUUGGUCCGGAACAUUGGUCACGGAAGCCAUGUUUUCGUGACUACUUAGUCGCGUUUUCCUUCACCCGUGACUAAUUAGUCACGAAAAUGGGACUUCCAUGGCUAAUUUUUGGUUGCGGUUUCUUGCUUCCGUUUUUUUUUUGCCGGAUGCUAUUAUAGUAGUGAUGUAGCAUAUUUUCAUGUUGAAUAUGAUUUAAAGUAUUUCAAUCGCUCAAUACAUUUGUGCAUUGUGAUCAAGAGUUGGAACCAACAACAGAUUCCUAGUUCCAAGUGCAGACAAAGCCGACCACCGAACGGAAUCCUAAUUCCAACCGGAAAACAGAUUCCUAGUCCAAAACAAACUAGGGAGUUAAUGAAGAGAACCGUUAAUCAGUAUAUAAACAAGCAAUCGAAUCCCUAGAUAUACCCUUUGGAAUCAACUUCAGCUGAAUGAUCAUUACCACCACCUUCAUCAAGAUGCAGUUGAGGAACUUCAGGUUGGUUGAACUUGAAUUUGAAUUCAUGUUAACUUUACCAUCUAUAGUUGCAUCUUGGAGCUGAAAAUAAACGUCUAAACUAGAUUUCCUAUCUGAUUUCAACUUUAAAUCAACUUGGUUUCACUUGUAAAUCAAUAUAAAUGCUUAACCGAAUGAAAUUAAAAAAUGUACUUUAAAAAUUGAUUUAUAACUUCAUUUGGCCAUUAUUUAUAGAAGUUACCAUGAUGAAACUUAAUUUUUUAGUCAUUUCCAACAUGCAUGUUAAAUAUUAGCCGAUUUAAAAAUUUAAAAAUUUUCAUGUGAAAAUGAUCCAUUUUCAUAGGUUAACCCCCUUUGGAAAGACCAUUUUCACAUGAAAUUUUUCAAAUUUUCAAAUUAGCUAAUAUUUAACAUGUAUGUUGGAAAUGACUAAAAAUUGAGGUUUGACCAUGUUAAACUCUUCAAAUAAAAGUCUAAUGAAGUUAAAAAAUUAUUUUUCCUAAGACUAUACAGCUAUGGUGUUAGUCUUAAAUUUUUUCAAAUUGGUUAACUUCUUCCAUGCAUACGAAAAACAAUUAGAUAUCUAAGUUAAACUAUGUCAAACCUUUAAAUAUGGGCCGUUGGCAAGAGGGCUAAGUCACUAAGUUAGUGACUCCAAUUUUUGAAUUCUUACUAACUUGAUCUUGUUGCUCCCGGCAACAAACAUGUAUGAACCAUUUUGUGAAGUAUGUGUCCGGAUAAUCCAAAGUCUUGAUAAUUAGUUCUCGAUCUUCCAGUAAAAAAACAACGUCGACCAAGACGUGUCGGUUCACUAUUUCGGGGUAGGGAUUGUAACUUUCCCUGAAUUUCCCGUUUAUCGGUCAAUGUCAGAACUUCUACUUAUUUCAUUUUGGGGAUCGACGAAGCAAAUAAUAUUUUUGAAUUUCCCGUUUAUCGGUCAAUGUCAGAACUUCUACUUAUUUCAUUUUGGGGAUCGACGAAGCAAAUAAUAUUUUUGUUCCAAUUUUUUCUUUUCUUUUCACGUUGAAUCAAACUUUUCUUUGCCAUAAUCUUUUCACUCCUAUUAAUAUCGCUGAUACAAAUCGGAUGUUAGAUGUAGAAAUAGAAAAAAUUAUCCUCUCCAUAGCAAGAACGAUAUUCUCAUGCAUACAUAAUUAACCAAAUUUGCCCGAUGUAGAGGCAAUCAAGAAGGCCGCAUAGGUAAAGAUAUAACCUACGGAAAAGUGGGUUAAUCCAACCAACCUGGCUUGCACAAUGGAAAGAGCUACUGGUUUAUCACUCCAUCGAAUCAAAUUAGCCAAAAUCAAUUGUUUGAGGUACACUCUUGUUUUUAAAUGUGUUUUCAGCGGGUACUAUCAAAUCUUUCUCUGUGUGAGUAAUAUGAUUAGGGAAGCUGUAUAAAUGUGUUUGCUUCAUUGUGUGGUUUACUAAUGUACCAUAAUCGUAUAUAUGCAAGGAGGACGUUUCGAUGGCAUUGACAGUUGCCUUAGCGGCGCCUCGAGGGGGAUGGGGAUCUAGGGCUUAAUACAUAAGCUCACGCUAUCAUAGUCUUGGCGAAAUCAAGAACUAAUGUCGAGUUACAAAAUGUUAUGAUUUUGAUCGGUUCGAAUAAUGGGUCGGAUAAGCUUUUCAUAGUAUACUACACCAAAUUAUAGUAGGCAAUAAAUACCAGAAGUGGACAAAAUUUUGCUUAGGAUGAAAAGCUUUGGUUACUUGUCAGCCAAGUAACUAACUAAGGUUCUCUCAACCUAACUAGUUCAUCAGCAAACUCCGGUGUUGCGUCUUAACUGUCCGGGUUACAGACCGGCCCAUCCUAAGCCGACGAGUUGUUAGAGCUUCUAAAAGCGCGGCGAGGUUAUUCUCCAAUGCUUCGCCUUGCUUCUGCAGGCCAAUGCAGCUGAACCCGGCUAGUUCGUGAAGUUCAAACAGCAGCCCUGCAGCUGCUGCUGCUGUACAUGUACGAUCCCACGAUGGUUGCGGCCUGAGUUUGUGCAUUGUCGAUACUCCGGUUGCCAAGGAAAUGCAAGGAAGAUCCUCCUCGUCCCCCCACGUGGAUUUCGACUUCUCCUGCAAGUUUUUGGACAAAAUACAACGUUAGAUGCAGACAUGUCUUCACGCGCUGAGAUUGGUUUUAAAUCGGUCAAUUUUUACCUUCAAGCGUCUGAACAUUGCAGCAGAAUUGUUCCAUGUGCCAUCAAUCAACAGAAAGUUUAAGGCUUUAUCUGGAUUUGACUGUCCAGCAUCACAAAUAAGUAAAGCUUCAUUAAACUCAGUAACUACAUAGAACUGAAAGUAAAAAGGUUAUUGCUUUGUUACCUAAAAACCUCCAGGCUUACAUUUACCAAACAGUUAUUGAUUUAUUACUAAUGAUGUACAUGCAUUCUAGCUAUAUAAGUACCAUUUUCAUUGAGGAAAGCUGGAAAAGAGUACCGGAUCUUGAAUGAUCUCGUGAUUUGCUAUAGAUUCUUGACCAAAAGCUUCAGGGACCGAUUUUGUCACAGCAUUUUUGUUAGGAUACAGACACCAGACCUUGUUUUUGCCUGCAAAUCAGCCAGAAAUCAGAAUCAGAAUCAUUCACGAAUAAUCACAUUUCAAGGACAAACCGUAUCUAAGUACAAACCUGCAGCUUUAAAGGCAUUCCACAUGAUCUCCUCAUCUUCGGAUAUACCAUAAAGGCAAAGGGUAGCCGAACUUGCUCCGAAUACUUGCCACAGUAGCUUCCCAGUGUUGUUCUGUCUUAGGAAGUCCUGCAAGACAAGAAAGUUUUGGACUUUCAACAAUAUCUAACUCCGAGUCAACCGAAACUGGAAGGAACUGUGCUACAAAUCGAACUCUAACUAACCUACCUUUGGAUGCAUAUAUACCCAGAACCGAAUCCCGGGCCACAAAGCACACGGCUUCAGUUGUGAACACAUGCAGUCUUCUUCCAUAGGAAGCCAGCACUGCAAAUCAAUUGAACUCCUAUUAAAAAAUCAAUUGACAUCUUCACUGUCUAGAGUAACUAGUUAUUGGGAUGUAAAGUUCUUCCUAUUAACAAUUCUUAGAUGGUUUGAAAAAUCCAGCUCAUAGAAAAAAUUGCAGAAGAAGUACCAAAAUCCACAAAAUAAAGAAUGCACCUUCAGGCAAAGAUAGCCUCUACUCCCAAGCAAUCUGCAAGCAAUUUGCCGAGCUGAAAAGAACUGGAUCUUGUUCUCAGGACCAUCCAAAGCUUCAUACUUUGCCCUGUGCUUUUUCUCUUCAUGAGUUCUAAAAUCUCCCUGCCACGAUUACACAAUAAAAAAAAUCAAAUUCCAUGGGAAAACUCAACUUCAAAGGGUCGAAAUCAGGGCAAAUGUUUCACCUUGAGUUUCCCUCCGGAACCACCGAACCUCAUCUGGGCAUCGAUAUUUGACUCGAGAAGCUUCAAAUCGUCGAUGACCUCCAAGACCUUGGAUGGUAUCGGAGACGCGGCGCCCCAUCCCUGCCACUCCUGCAACGUUAUCGACCCGCCGCCUCCGCCGUCUGAGUGUCCGGCCGAAGAGCGUGCCGGUGAAUUGGAGAAUGUUCUGGGUGGGGAAUCCAUGAAAUUGAUAAGGGUUGUGGAGAAAUGGGGAAAGGGUUGAAUCAAGUGCUUGAAUUGGGAGAAGGGCUUGGUUGCAGCAGCUGGGGAAAGCAUAGUGGAAGGGGUUUUGAAUUUUGAUUUAACGUUUCUGAUAAAAUUGGACAAAAUUUCCCCCUAAUUUAUUAAUUGUUUGGUAUCCGAUAUCUCAAUAUUAAGAUCAAAACUUUGAUUUAACUCGUUAGGUUUGAAGUGGCCUAAUUGAUUCAUCAAUUAUAAUAAUAUAAUCGUACAUAAAUUAUUUAUUAUAAAAAAACUAUAGCAUUAUUAUAGAACAUUAGAUACUAUAUAUAAUACACAUUUAUUAAGCCUCGAGCACAAUAUAUCUUAGAAUCUCACCUCGAAUACUUGUUUGUUUUUUGAUUUUUGCAUGGAAAUGCUUAGUACUUUCUAAAUAACAAUUGUUAAUGUAUAUCAAGUUAGGUCCAUUAUGAUUAUAGGUUAAUCGAAAUUCUUAUGUAUAUAAAAAAUGUAGUCUCCUUCUCUAUAAUUAAGUCGAACACUCUCAUAAAAAACCCUAAUAAAAUUCAUUUUUCUCUUCAUGGACUAGCCGACCUCAAGGUCAAAAACCACGUUAAUUACCUGUGUUAUUUCACUGUUAUUUUUUCUUUAUUCUGUUAUUAUUCCUUCUUUACUCUGCUAUUAUUCCUUUUUUAUUCCUCAUUUGUUCCUUUUUUAUCCAAAAAUUAUCAACAAUGAGCUAAUUUGCAUUACUAUUUCGACCGGUAUUGAAGUCACAUAACUAGAACUUAGGUGAUCGUAAUGAUAUUUACCCGUUUUGUUUAUGCCCGAGACUCCGAAUCCGAGUCCAACAAGGACUCCUUCCUUCUAUAAAAAGUAAUCCAGCCCUCAAUUUAAAUCCCUUGGUAACUGAUUAUACAGGGAGGAGGAAGAUUCCUAUUACAAGAAGAAUUAGGAAUCCGAUCGAAACUCACGAAAAGAAAGAAAGGUUCUUUUUAUAAUCACGAUCAUGGCGGCGGCGGGGAUCAACCUCCGCCCCAAAUUCUGACCCUCGGGGAAGGACACGCUGAAACAUCACCGCACGCGAAAGAAGAGAGUCAACUACCUCUGGCUGAAACUCAAUGGACAACCCAUCCCGAUUCCGUCCGAUGAGCUCAUACCCGAGAUCGACAUCUACGGACAACUGAAGCCAUGGGAGAUGUUCGACAGCAACGACUCGGCCCGAUUCUACGCUUUCGCGUGGCUGAAGAGUCGCGGCGGGCAGCGUUUCCGCCGUUCCACCGGCGGCGGAACGUGGGAGCUCAAGAACAGCACCCUGUUCGCAGAGGACGGCCGGUUUCUGAAGCGGAACCUUGUGUAUGAAUACAAAGACAAACGGAAGGACGAGGUGAUCACCGGCCAGUGGUCGAUGGUAGAGUUCUCGCUUCAGGGAGCGGCGGAUAAAGAUUUUGUUGUGUGUAAAGUCCGGUUUAACCAUUGCCGGAAGCAGAGUCGUCACAGUCGUCUCGGUGGGCGGAGUGGUAAUGUGGCUGGUUUCUCGCCGGCGGUGGGAGGGUUGAAGAUUACGGAGAGGGCGGCGGCGGAAACAGGGGAAGUCAAAAUUAGGGCAGAGGAUAAGCAAUCGGAGGAAUUUGAUUUUGACUUGGAGUCAAGAGAGGAGAUUCUAACGUUGACUGAGAAUUUUUGGAGUGAACCGCCGGGUAAUAUUUGGUUGACCAUGAGUUGGAACGGUGUCGUUAUAACGUCUUGUGUUCAUUGUUGUUAGAUACUCUAUUAUGCAAGAGCUCGAUCAAAUGAUACUCUAUUAUGGACUAUUAUUGUUGGACGAUCAAAGAUCAAGCACAUCCAGAAUAGCAUGAGAUGCAUCUCUAAAGUUGAUCAAUAUGUAGUCCAUGAUCAUACAUAAAUAUAGUUAUUGAUCGGAAAUUGAGAAGUGACAUAUAGGUUUUAACACGAAGUAUUAUAGAAUUAGAAGUUGUAGCAUAGUUUUAGGUUGUUGAAUAUUAUGCUACAUAUUUACUAUAUGCCCAAUAUAGAUAAGAAUCACACUGACUAAUCACUUCUUUGUUUCUCGAUUCUCUAUUACCUACUAAAAAUAAGCCAAUUCACCUCAAAAAUUCAAUUGGUAUAAAGGUAACUAGCUCUGCGUCGAGCCGAUUGGGCGAAUAACUUGUAUUGCGGUUUUUUAGCUAAAAAAUUAUAUGAUAGGGUUACAAAUUCAAAUUUAAGGUGAAUAUGUUGAUAUUCAUCUCUACCUUUUACUCGCAUACUUAUAUUUAUUUUCUAUACUUCUGAUUUUAAACUCGAUAACCCUAUUAUUUUUUAUCUUUUUUGUGAUGCGAUGUACAAUCCGUGACCCAUCUACCCCAAGAUCUCAUGAAUCCGCAAUCUAACAAACCCACGACCUUAUGGAUCCGCAAUUCAAAAUCUGCAACCUAAUGAACUUGUGACCUGACUAAUCCGUCACUCGAUAAAUCUGCGAUCCAAUAAAUUCGCAACCAGACUAACUUGACUCGUGACCCGCGCAUCCCACACAUUUGGUAGAUUUGAGGCCCAUGCACUAAACUUUACUAACCCUAUAGAAUAAGAGACCUAUAAUAGCUAAUUUUAAAAUAUAAUUUAUUUGUGUACAAAGAAAAAUUCUAGAAAAUUUUAAUUGUUACUCCUCCAUAUAUGUGACAUUUUGUAGAUGUAUUAUAACACAAUGGAAAAUUCAUGGUAAUCCGGUGACCCGUCUAGUUCAAGAGGCGAUGAACUUGCAACCUGAUAAACGCACAACCCUUAAUGGAUCCGUAACCCGAUAGAAUUGUAACCUAAUUAACAUGUGACCCAACGACUUGUAGCCCAAAAAAUUUACAACUUAACAAAUUCGCAACCCAACUAAGAUAACAUGUAAGUCAUGCAACCCAACCGUUUUAUCCACAUAACUCUCCAGUUUAUCACCAUUUAUAUGCAAUACUUGGACUUAUUUUUUUAAAUUAAGGAAUACUGAUAUUUGAUAUUUAUUCUCACAUAAAAUUAUUAUUAAUUAAAACAAUUAUAUUAUACAUCAUGUCAUAUCUUAUUUUAUUUGAUUUUUUUUAAAUAAAUAUAAAAAUAUAUUUUAAUAAUAAAAAAAAAACCGAUUCGAUUUGUUUAAUGCAAUGAAUUGGGAUUUAUGUUCUUAAAUCAUAAUGCAUUAUUAGGUAGUCAAACCAAACACCGCAAAUUUAUAAAUGACGGUUUUCUACUCGAAAGGAUGACCACAAAAAAUUUACCUUAUACUUUUGAGCUUUAAAUUCAACAUCAUUAGAAUCGCCAUCAACUAAGAUUUACAAUUUUAAUCAUAAUCUAAUGAAUUAACUCAAAGGUGGAACAAUCUUACUCAAAGUUAAGAUGAUUAGGUAUAACCGGUUGGAUUUUAAACCACUCUUCCAAUCGAUCUAACGUCUCAAUAUGAUUAUUGGGACCAUACUUACAUAAACAAAGUCGGAGUAAUCUCUAACAAACAGCCUAACAAACCAAUGAUUUCACGUCUCAACUAACCAAAUCACCGAUCCAGCGAAUCAAAUCAAACUCUUCCCAUAAACAAAUACAAAAAGAAUCAGCCAAAAAGUUUCUGAUUAAUGAUAAAUCUGUCCAAUAAUACCCUCUUCACAGCUAAUUGAGAACUCUGUAAAUUAAAUCCAGGAAGAAAAGAAACUACAGGGUCAAAAUAUCUGCAAAUCCGAUCUUCAAAAUCUUCACCGAUGAGCUGUCACCAACGUCUCGAUAAACCUAAGCCCGUCGAACCUCGGCGCAAACUUCUCCGGUGUCGUCGCCGGCCUGAUCUGCUUCUGAUCGUUGCUCAAACCACCCUCCUGUAAAAUCAAAAUUCACAAAAGAAAACAGAGGGGAGGAAAAAAACAUCAGGAUCGUCUGAUGAUCCAAUAACAGACAUGGGAUAUAAUCGGAAUUCGAAAAUUGAAUCAUGGGUAGUAACAAAAAGGUAAGAAUCAAUCAAUGAAUCACCCCCUUCCAUCGAAAAUUGAAAUCUUCAACAGAAACCCAUAACAGGGGAAGGAAAAACAGAGGUCUACAAAAAGGGAAAGUGGGUUUACCUGGAGAUAUGAUGAUGAUGAAGAAGAAACGGAGAUGGCGGUUGCAGACGCCGCUGCGGCGGCGACGGCGGCGAGAAAGCUUGAUGUUUUCAUCGUCUUUGGGUGAUUAUUUUUCUGAUGGGUGUGAAAUUUAGCUUAGCGUUUCCAGGAAUCUAGUUGCAAAGGAAUAGUCAGAGAAAUCAAGCUGCGGCGAUUUGAAAAUUUGAUUUAUGGGGACAGAAAGAGAAGUUCUUUAAGGCGAAGGUGGAGUUUUUAUAAAGAAAGUUGCCAGAUUGGAAUCUGGGGGAGGGGGAUUCCUUUUACGCGGCAACCAUUGACGAUCCUUGAUCGUCCACUUAAAUUUUUGUUUCCCGUUUUGCCCAUUGGUUGGGUGGUUAAUUGCGAUUGUGGUCGUUGUUUGAUGACCCGAUUAGUCGGCUUUCGUUGCCUGGCUCCGAAGGAUUAGGGACAUGAUAAUCAUAUUUUUGAAAGGUUAAACGUGUAAUUUUGCGUCAUUUAUUGGUGUAAUAGGGUUCCACAUGUAACGUAUUUAACAAAUGGACACAAAGGUGUAACAUACUUAACAUAUUGGUCAUUUUUCGUGUCGUUGUUCGAGUUUGGUUAUUAGCAGCAUAGCAUGCUUGGGGUGAAUGAAAAUUGAGUCAUUGUUCAUGAUUUUUUGUUCUUAAAGCUACGAAAUUGUAUAUUUAAGAAGUUUACAGUCAAAAUUUAUAGUCCACUAGUUCUAUAUAAUUAGUUGAUUUUCAUACUUGAAAUUCCAUAUAUGAUUUGCAGUCAUACAUCAUCAUCCAACCAUCAAUUGAUGGUACUUAUGUUGUCCCUAAGUUAGAUAUUUGCGUUAACAAAGCAACACAUAUUUUGUAUUCAAUUACUUAUAAUCGAAAAACGUUAACAACACAUAUUUUGUAUUCAAUUACUUAUAAUCGAAAAACAAGGCCAAUCCGCCCAUCCAUCCAUUUUCUGCCAUGGUCGCCUACUAACGAAGUUUGUUGUAACAUAGAGAAAGUAAUCAUGAUGCUAACCAUUCAAGAGACGGCCGGGUUUGGUCGGAUCUCGAAGUUUGACUAACCUUUGAUAUUUUGGGGUACCAUUCAUCUUGGGCCACGUAUGAUGCUAAUAUGAAGCCACGACAUAUUUCUCCUCUCCUUCAGGGGGGACUGACCAACAUUGUAGGCCAUUGUAGCUCAAAACAUAAUAUAAAAUUAGGGUUAGGAAGAAGUGACAAAGAAAUCUGAGGUGGAGGAUGGUGAUUGAGGGGCAAGUGAGGCUUUUGUUCUCGACAAAUUACAAAACUUUGAGUAGGAGAUGAUGGCGAGUGUCGAAAUAGUAUCCAAAAUCAUGCCACCCUCCCAAAACAUAGCUUUUGUCUCUUGGUCUCAACAAGACAUACACAUAAACCUUGUUGUUCAUAAAGGUACUAUACAGAUUUUAGGUGGUCGUUAGAGGUUAAAUGAUGUUAGAUUAUAUUAUUUGAUAUAUAUAGAGUUAGUGGAUAUUUCGGAUGGUGGUUUGAUUAGAGUAAUAUGAUUUGAUAUGGAUGAUUGGUUGUAGUGGAUUAGACCUAGAUAAUAUCUCAAGUUUAGAAAAGUACUUUGGACGAGAUCUUGUAUGUAGUUGUACGAAUAGUGAAGCCUAAUUUAAGAAAAUGUUAGGUCAUAUUGUUUGGAUUUGGUGAAUGUUUUAUUUUGUUAAUUGGACAUGGAGCAACAUAGGUUAGAUGUCGAAAUUGGUAGCGCGGUGAAUUAGCUUCACAUGCUUGGUGAUCUGUCUUGUCAAGCUGCGGAAUCAUAAUAUUUCAAGAUCCUGGAUAAUACUUUAAAUUUGAAAAGCAUCCUAUACGAGAUCCGAAAAUAUACUUGGGGUAGUUUAGGUUUUUCUCUUACCCCGAGUUUUGCAAUUGGCCUUGUCGCCUAACCUGUCAAAGAGUUUCUUUUAGGGGUGUGUAGUAGUGAGAAAGAGUGAGGGUAUACAUAAUAAACUUGUAAAAAAAAAAUAAUAUAUAUAGUGUGAUCGGGUAGUUUACAUAGUAUUCAAUACUACGAAGACCGACAUUCUUAUUUUUAAACUUUAUAACAUUUCGAGAUAACUUUUUAUAUCGAUAUAUCCUCGGCAAACUCAACCAUAAAAAUAUGCCUCUAGAAUCUUAAUUUACACAUUGGACUUGGUUUUCAUGCACCCAAGUAUGCCAUGCAUGACGACUCAUCGACUGGAUUUGGCACCUAGACAUAGAAUCAGAUCAACCAUACGGGCUACCGGCACGUGUCCUAACAGCCCACCAAUCAAUUGUCAGCCACCCAUUUCCUCAACCAGCCAUUUUUUGGUGGGAGGUCGAGCUUGGACGGCGGUGAUGGGGAGUUUUAGGUCAAUUUGUUAUAAUCAAAGCACUGAAUUAAGCAUCAUAAUCUACAUAAAAUAUGCUGGGAAAAGAUGCCAAAUUUUCGAGGCCAAUAAUAGUGGCCGAUGCUGCGUUGGCGUGUUAGCAUAUAAAUAUGAACUUGUACCAAGUCCAUACAACUUGGCAAUUGUGUUAUUUUAUAGAUUUUUAAUACUACUUUUUGUUGAGUAAGUAAUUUUAUGUUUAAUAAAAGUAGGGAAUUAUAGCGGAAUAACAUUGAUCAUUAACGUGAUUUUUGAUUUUGUGGUUGAUUAGCUUAUGAAGAGAAAGAGAAAUAUUAUUAGGGGUUUUUUUUAGAGUAACGACUUAAUUACAAAAAAGGAGACUAACACUUCUUAUAUACAUAAGGAUUUCGAUUAACUCGUAAUCAUAACGAACCUACCCCAUAUACAUUAACAAUGUUGUAAGUACAGGCCAAAAUGUUAAUCGAAAACACAUAUAUCUCCACCGACAACAUCCAUCAAAACCGCCAAAAACAUAUGCCAAAUUUUCAAGGCCAAUAAUAGCGGCCUCUGAAGUUGCGUUGGCGUGUUAGUAUAUAAUUAAUACAUGUACCAAUUCCACACAACUUGGCAAUUGUGUUCCUUUGUUAUUCCAUAGUUUUUAAAUAGCAAGAGUUCAAAUACAGUUAUUUUAAACCGGAGCCCGCUUAAUCUUUUCAAAUCCUAACUCAUUCUAUCUCGUAACUCUACAAAUUUGUAAUUCGUUGAACUCGUGAUAAGAUAAAUGCACAACCCAAAUGACUCGUACUCCUAGCUCAAACUGAUAAACGAUGUGACCUAACAAACGCAGAAUAUGUACAUUUAACACCUCAAAUGGUGAUCUAGAGGACAUGAUGAGAUUUUUUGUGCCGCAUUAUUUACGUAUUAUCAGUGUGUUAUCUGUACACCUUAUACGGAAUACACCUAAGGAUCCAACGAGGCACUUUAGGUUACUUGUGUUUAUCUACUUACAUGGUGGAUACAACACUGUAGUGGAAGCCAGCAGCAUCACUUUAUCCAUGGUAUGCAGUUAGGUCACUCUCUUUUUCUCUUUUGUAUAAUGGAGUCCAACUAUGCGAUCACAUCCUAUGACAUCAUAAAAGGACUCUGUUCAUAGAUCAACACAGAGCCCUCAAUUGGCUUCAGGAAUUGGAGUUGGAGAAUCACCAUCCAAUUCGUGGAUCUACGGGUGGAUUUCGGGCAGACAAUGAGACCCCGUUUCCGAAUAUCCAAAUUUCUGAUUCCCGAUUUUCGAAUAAGAUCUCUCGUUCCUAUUUCCGAACUAAAUCGAGACUACUUAUCCCGAACUACUGCAUUUCCCCAGACACUGUUUCAUUGUAAAUACUGACCGCUGCUACUUCAUAAGCCCAAGCAUAAGAAAAUCGAGAUAGCACAAGGAUUACAGUUCAUUAGCAAGCAAUCAGCAACAACUGUUGAAACAAAGAAGCAAACUUUCAGAAACCCCUCUGUCUUAUUCAUACUGAAAGACGCUCAUCAUACACUUUUCCCGCCAUUGAUGCUUCUUCAACCUCACAAAUCCGACUUCUUCUUCGUCAUCGCCAUGGAAUUAACAACCCCUCUGCUACUUUAUAAUCCCCAUGGACUCUUUUUCAACCUCUCAUACACUGUUUCAUAGCAAAUACUGACCAGUACUGCUACUUUAUCAGCCCAACCAUAAGAAAAUCCAGAUAGCACAAGGAUUACAGUCCAUCAGCAACAAAACUUUCAGAAACCCCUCUGCCUUAUUCAAACUCAAAGAAGCUCAUCAUACACCUUUCCCGCCAUUGAUGCUUCUUCUUCAUCGCCAUGGAUUCAACGACUCCCACAGCUCAUAAGCCUUUCCACAUACUUCCCCAAUAUGUCAACCUCCAAAUUCACCUUCUCCCCAACUUCCUUCCCCGGAAUCACAACCUCCCCCUGCGUAUAAGCCACCAGCAUGAAAUUAAACCACCCUCCUUCUUCAUCCACAUCCACCACCGUCGAGCUCGUCCCGUCGACAGCAAUAAAACCCUUCGGCACAAUGUACCUCAACACUUUCUUAUCCCCAACUUCAACCUUAAUCCACAGCGAAUCCCCUUCUUUCUCCUUGCUCAGAAUCUCCCCUGUACAGCCCACGUGUCCCUGCACGAAAUGGCCACCCAUCCGGGUCGUCGGCUGGACCGCCCGCUCCAAAUUGACCCGCGACCCGGGCUGGAGACCUAACAGUGACGUCUUUCUCAGAGUCUCUGGGGAUAUUCCCGUUGUUAAUUCGUUUUCCGUGAACUCUGUCACCGUUAGGCAGGUUCCGUUAACGGCGAUGCUGUCUCCUAAGUUGACUCCGUCGAGGACGGUUUUAGCCGGUGCCGUCGGAGGUUGUGCCCAGGCGUUUGACUUCGCCGAUCUCUUCCACGAUCCCGGUGAAGAGGCAGGUGAUUGUUGAGGUGGAUCGUGGGUGGUGGUUGGAUCUGGAGAUUGGGAUUGAAUUGAUGAAGAAGGAGGAAGGGAUGGAUUUGAGGUGUGGGGUGGUGAUUGGUGAGAAAUUGAGUGCUGUGUUUGUGGUUUUUGGUGGUAAUCGGUUUCUUCCGGAGGCGAUCGCCGGUGAAUUGAUCGGCGUUGUGAGAGACAAUUGGAGCGCCAUUUUUGUUUGGAUUUCUGGAGGUAAAUUCUUAGGGUUGAUAAUUUAUUUGGAACCAUUAAACGGCAUGAACAAUGCCGUUUCGAUUGACGUGGCUCAUGCACGCAGGGUUUAGCUUCCUUCAUAUUGAAUUUGGAAUUCAUAAUCUUGAUUAGCAAGGUACUUAGGAACAUAUGUUAAUCGGUGUGAUUGGAUUAAUUAAUUGCUAAAAUUCUAGCCUUGUGUGUAUGGUUGAUCAUUCCGUAUCCAAUCGAAAAUUGCGUUGCACUCAUAUUCUAUUUAACUUACUAGCUUGAUUUAUCAUAAGAUUAAGAUUUCAUAUAUCGAAUCACACGAUUCAAUUCCGACCCACCUGCUUUUUUUGGUAUAAAAUAUAGUAUAUGACCCAUUAGCUGACUAAUUUAAUCGAGGAUAAUUAUGAGAUUAAAGUUUUACUAUUCUUUCAACGUUAUUGUGGAAAUCAAAUACAAAUUCACACUUCCAAAUUCAGCCUCCAACACCACUACACCAACUCGGUAUAAUAACAACAAUGAUUAAUCAUUUGGGAGGACCUGAAUUGGACAAGUGGACAGAGCUAGGCCAAGGAGGUGGAGGGUGGUCGGUGUGGACAAAAUGUUUAAAAGUGGGCCGGUGGGCCCAAGCCUUAUCCUUCUGAUCCAUUUCCCACAUACUACACGUUUGUCUCAUGCACCUUUGAAUAAAUAAUUAAUCAGUUAAAUAAAAUUGCAAUUUGACCCCCAAAUUCCAGAAUUGUUUUCACUAGAGAUUCUUUUACACGUCGUCAUUUAAUGUUGUUUUAUUUCUUUAUACCGUUUCAUCCUUGACUUAAAAUAAAUAAAGACUAAUUUUUUCGUAUAAUAAAAACAUCUUACGGUCAUAUUUAACUCUUACAUAAAAUCUUAAAUACGCCAUUGACACCUUUCUAUAAAAAUGAAUACUUCAAAUUUCGGACUAUAAUGUCAAACCUAUGAAGUUGAAGGACCAAAAGAGAAGUUUCUAUAAAAGUCCGUCCCUUUGAAGACAAGCCAACCCAGAGUUCUCUUUCCUCGUUCUUUCUGCUUUCGUAUUUCUCUAACUUAUCUCUUCUCUGCAAAUUUAUAUUCCCCAAAUUUGUCUCUUUAUUACUACCUCCAGAUCGGCGGCAAUCGGAGCGCCACCGUUCGUUCAUCUACAUCCCCCUUCUCGCUUCACUUCUCUACUCUCCAAUCUCCGGCUUUUGUUUCUUCCUUCCUUCCUCAUGGCUUCUGGAUCGUCUGGACGGCCCAGCUCGGGUUCCAAGGGAUUCGAGUUCGACUCCGAUGACAUCCUCUGCUCCUACGAUGACUACUCCAAUCAGGAAACUCCUAACGGGAAUCACUCCGAUCCCAUUCCCGCUCCCGCUCCUAAUUCCUCCAAGGUAUAUACUGCUUGCUUAUUCGCGCUUCAACUUGGUUUUGCUUUUGCUUGAGCUUGAUGGGUCCUUCUGUUCGCCGUGUUUUGAUUUGGUAUUGCUAACCCUAGAAUGGUCAGAUUCAGCUGAUUCAGUUGUUGCUGUUUGUCUAUAUGCGGAUGUUUUAUAUAUAUUAUAUACCUUGAUCUGUGCUUGAGAUGUUGAAUCUGCGAGGCGGAAAUGUUAUUGAUAGAUUGGUCGUAUAAUAGUUAUCUGCUCAUUUGAAUGGCUGAUGAAGCUUAAUGUAGAUAGAUUGAACUUUUUUGACUUUUCUUAUGCAACUUUUUGCUAGCUGGUGAACUCGUGACCUUUAAAAGCAGAGCUUUUGGUAUGGCUAACCCUAGAAUGGCUGCUGAAUAUGUGAUUCAAAUGAUUCAUUUGUUGCUUUGUGAAUCCUGCUGAAACAGUAAAUGUUGAUGAAAAGAUUGUUUCUUUGAUUUGAAUGGCUGAGCAAGUGGUUUGCAACUUAGCUGACUGGUGAAAUUUAUGCAUUAGGGUUUUGAGAAAAGCAGGAUGUCUCGAUCAUCUGUGUACCAACCUGCUUCGUAUGGUCAGCCUGAUGAUUCGUUCCACCAAGAGGUGAUCUCUGCAGUGGAGAGGAGCAUGAAACGGCAUUCAGAAAACCAGAUGCGGUUUCUGGAGGGAAUCAGUUCGCGGCUAUCCCAGCUGGAGCUGUACUGCUACAAUCUCGAUAAAUCGAUCGGCGAGAUGCGAUCCGAUUUGACCCGUGACCAUACCGAGACAGAUAUGAAGCUAAAAGCCGUUGAGAAGCAUCUUCAUGAGGUUGGUUGAUUCUCUGAACGCAAAGUUCCGUCAUUUAAGUAUAUCCAUAUUCAUAUAAAUUGUUCACUGAGGGGAAGAACAUGUUUUUGCAGGUCCAUAGAUCUGUUCAGAUUCUAAGGGAUAAGCAAGAGCUUGCUGAAACCCAAAAGGAGCUAGCUAAGCUUCAUCUUGUCCAGAAGGAAUCCACUUCUUCACACCAUUCACAAUCUAACGACGAAAGGGCUGCAUCGCCUGCUUUCGAUCCGAAAAAGAACGACAACACCGCUGAAGGACACAACAACCAACAAUUGGCUCUUGCUCUUCCGCAGCAAGUUGCACCUCAACAGCAACAGAUAUCUGCUCCUCCACCGCCCUCUCAUGUCCCACACCAGAAUCUGGCUCAAGGACAACCUCAGACUUACUAUCUAUCACCAGGGCAGUUAGCUGUUGCGCCUCCCUCACAGUCCCAGCCACCUCACAGCCAGUAUAUGACUCCUGAUCCACAAUACCGACCAAACCAAAUGCAGGGGAUGCAAUCGCAGCCAGUUCCAGUACAAGCUAGUCAGGCGCCUCCUCCGCCAAAUCAGCUAUAUCCUCAGUAUCAACAGCAGUGGCCUCCUCAGCAAGUUCAAGUACAACAAACUCAGCAGCCAGCAAUGCAGACUCAAGUCAGGCAGCAAUCAAACACAGUUUAUCAAGAGACAUUGCCGAGCAGCAUGCCUAUGCCAGCAUCAUACUCCACAGUUCCACAGCCUUUAUCAAGCCGUGUUGAUACCAUACAAUACGGAUACGGAACCGGGAGACCAGCUCCUCAGCAGCUUCCACCUCAGCAGAUGAAGGUCCCGUAUGGAGCCCAACCCGGCGACAGCUUCACAACACCUGGACCGCACGGUGCUACGUAUGUGGUUUACGACACCGAAGGAGGUAGUAGACCCCACCCUCCGGCUCACUUCUCGCAAGGUGGAUACUCCAACUCCCUCCCAGGUGGUGCGGUGGCUUCUCCUAACAUGAUGCCCCGGAACCCUACUCCACCGCCCCAGUUUGUCCGCAGCCAUCCUUACAACGAGCUGAUCGAGAAGCUGGUCAGCAUGGGGUUCCGAGGCGACCAUGUCAUGGGCGUCAUCCAGAGGAUGGAGGAGACCGGGCAGCCCGUGGAUUUCAAUGCGGUGAUCGAUAGGUUGAACGUCCACCCUCCUUCCGGCACCAGCUCUCAGAGAGUAUGGUCGGGAUGAGAAAAAGCUUGAUUGCUGGGUUGUGUUCGAUCUCGUCGGAGCCGUUCAGAAGCCAUGGAAUUUGAAUAAGGUGAAUGAAUGUGUAUGUAUGUUGUAUUAGAGGCUUGCUUUUUGAAUGCCCCGGAAGAAGAAGAAAGUGUGAUGGAUGGAAUUUCUUUCCUCUCCCUGUUGUUUUAUUAGGAAGGGGGAAAUGAUUUUCAUUUUGCCACUCUUGUUAGUCUUUAGUUGUAUUUUCUAUUCGUUGUUUGUAAUCUGAAUACUACUACAGCUGCUGCUUUGUUCAAGCUCUUCUAUUAAUUAACAUCUUGGUCUUCUGACGUCGAUUCUAUUUUUGGUUUGAUGGGUUCUGUUCGAACUGGGUUGAUGGUUUUCGAGUGUGCAUUUCUAUAUUUGCUUGUUGUUUAGGUGUGAGGGUUCCGAUUGUGUGAUCUAGUGAUAGAGAGUCUUCGGUGCGAGAGUGAACUAGGGAAAUGAUCUUCACUAUGAUUAAGUUCUUUUGGUGUCGUUGUUGAGGAUUGGUUUCUUGUUUCUUAAGGAAUCCAUCUGAGGUUGGGAUUGUUGAUCUAGUCAACCGCUCUUCCAAUUUCUCCCUGUUAUGGUUUAAUGAAUCAAUUAGUGUUUUAAUAACAUAAGUUUGUAUUUUUCGAUCAUCGUCUGAAACCCAAAUUUUUUUUAUUUUACUCGAAACAUUUUAACUAUUUUUUAUCUGUUCGGGCCAACGAUAACCAACCAACCCUAUAACGUUACAUCAAUCUACAACUAUUGAGACAAUUCUCCACACCUAACCACACCAACAUCGAUUAUAGUGCGAUUUCAUUAGACACUUAAACAUAAUAAACAUAAAUAACUACGAUUGGAUCAUAAACGACCAAAUAUGAUAAGGAUUAAGGAGAUGUGUAAUAUACACGUCAUAUUUAUCCUAAGAAGAAAAUUUCCAAGUCAGUAAUGACGUGUAAUUAUAGCAAUAAAUACCGAAAAAUCCGUUAAAAUUCGGAUUCCCUCCUUUCUCGGAUUACCAUUUUUAACCCUGCUCUUUCAAACUUUCUCCAAUCGCUGCCGUCAGCUAAGCUAAACUGCCAAUCGCUGCCGUCAGAUGCAAUGUCCGCCACUCGCCGCCGUGCUCCUCCGCCCAACCAGUCUCCCAGAGAAGAGGACGAAGAGCUUUUCAACAUCAUUCCAGUCCACAACCUCCUAGCUGACCAUCCUUCACUCCGCAACCCCGAGGUCCGCGCCGCGGCAGCUGCCCUACGUGCCGUCGGGAACCUCCGGCGGCCUCCUUACGUACAAUGGAAUCCUUCCAUGGACCUGCUCGACUGGCUGGCGCUCUUCUUCGGCUUCCAGCGCGACAACGUCCGGAACCAGAGGGAGCAUCUCGUUCUCCACCUGGCCAACGCGCAGAUGCGGCUGAUUCCGCCGCCGGAGAACGUAGACACUCUCGACCAUGGUGUUUUGAGGCGUUUCCGCCGCAAGCUGCUGAAGAACUACACCGGAUGGUGCUCUUACCUGAACAAGAAAUCCAACAUCUGGAUCUCGGAUCGGUCCAACCCGGACCUGCGUCGAGAGCUGCUGUACGUUUCUCUAUACCUUCUAAUUUGGGGCGAGGCUGCGAAUUUACGGUUUAUGCCUGAAUGCAUUUGUUUCAUUUUCCAUAAUAUGGCUAUGGAGCUGAACAAGGUUUUGGAAGACUAUAUCGAUGAGAACACUGGACAGCCUGUGAUGCCUUCGUUCACCGGCGAGAACGCCUUUCUGAACUCAGUCGUUAAGCCGAUAUAUGAAACUGUGAAGGCUGAGGUCGAGAGUAGUAAGAAUGGGACAGCUCCUCACACUUCGUGGAGGAACUACGAUGAUCUUAACGAGUAUUUCUGGAGUAAGAGGUGUUUUGAUAAGCUGAAAUGGCCGAUUGAUCUAGGUAGUAAUUUCUUUGCGAUUUCGAGUAAGCAGCAGAAGAAGAAGCAUGUAGGGAAGACAGGAUUCGUAGAGCAGAGAUCGUUCUUGAAUCUGUUUCGGAGUUUCGACAGGCUGUUUGUGAUGUUGAUCUUGUUCCUACACGCUGCCAUUGUUGUAGCGUGGGAGGAAAAGGAUUAUCCAUGGCAGGCAUUGGAGAAUAAGGAUGUUCAGGUUAGAGCUUUGAGUAUUUUCUUCACAUGGGCUGGAUUGAGGCUUUUACAGUCCUUGCUCGAUAUUGCGACACAGUAUAGGCUGGUUUCGAGAGAGACAAUGUGGCUAGGGGUAAGAAUGGUGAUGAAGAGUGUUGUUGCUUCCGGAUGGAUUCUUGUCUUUGGAGUUUUCUAUGGAAGGAUUUGGAGCCACAGGAAUCAUGAUAGGAGAUGGUCCGGUGAAGCUAACGUUAGAGUGUUGACUUUUCUCGAAGUGGCAGGAGUUUUUGUGUUGCCUGAGUUAUUAGCACUCGCCUUGUUCAUCAUCCCCUGGAUUAGGAACUUCCUUGAGAAUACGAAUUGGAGAAUCUUUUAUUUUCUAACAUGGUGGUUUCAGAGUAGGAGUUUUGUUGGCCGUGGACUUAGAGAAGGACUCAUGGAUAACAUAAGGUACACUUUGUUCUGGAUUCUGGUGUUGGCUACGAAAUUUAGUUUCAGUUACUUUCUACAGAUUAAACCCAUGAUUAGGCCGUCAAGGAUGAUGUUGGAUUUGAAGGAUGUGAAGUAUGAAUGGCAUGAGUAUUUUGAUAACAGCAAUAGGCUUGCAGUUGGACUGUUAUGGCUUCCCGUGGUGUUAAUCUACUUGAUGGACUUGCAAAUAUGGUAUUCUAUCUAUUCAUCUUUCGUAGGUGCGGCAGUGGGGUUGUUUGCUCAUUUGGGUGAGAUUCGGAAUAUCCCGCAGUUGAAGUUAAGGUUCCAGUUCUUCGCCAGUGCAAUCCAGUUCAACUUAAUGCCUGUAGAGCAGCUACUGAACGAUAGGGGAACAUUGAAGAGCAAGUUUAAAGAUUCGAUUCAUCGGUUAAAGCUGAGAUACGGGUUUGGGACACCUUAUAAGAAGUUGGAAUCUAAUCAAGUUGAGGCUCACAAGUUUGCCUUGGUAUGGAAUGAGAUUAUCAUGAUUUUUAGGGAAGAGGAUAUAAUCUCUGAUCAGGAGAUUGAGUUGCUGGAGCUGCCACGUAAUUCCUGGAACGUGAGUGUUAUUCGCUGGCCGUGUUUUCUUCUGUGUAAUGAGUUGUUGCUUGCUCUUAGCCAAGCUAAAGAGCUGGUGGAUGCUCCUGACAAGUGGCUAUGGUACAAGAUAAGCAAGACUGAAUUCAGGAGAUGUGCAGUUAUCGAAGCUUACGACAGUUUAAAGCACUUGUUGCUCGAGAUCGUGAAAGGUAACACGGAAGAGCAUUCGAUCGUUACUGUUCUGUUUCAAGAGAUUGAUCACUCGUUGCAGAUUGAAAAGUUCACCAAGACUUUCAGCAUGACUGCACUGCCUAGCUUCCAUACUAAGUUGAUAAAACUCCUCGAUCUGUUGAAAAAACCGACCAAUGAUUCGAAUCAGGUUGUGAAUAUAAUCAAUACAUUGCAGGCUCUCUACGAAAUCUCUGUACGAGACUUUUUCAGAGAGAAACGAACUAUUGAGCUACUGAAGGAGGAUGGUUUAGUUCCUCGUGAUCCUGCUUCCAUAUCUGGCCAUCUCUUUGAGAAUGCGGUUGAACUUCCAGAUCAUACCGAUGAGAAUUUCUAUAGGAAUGUUAGACGUUUGCAUACGAUUCUUACAUCUCGAGAUUCGAUGCACACUGUUCCGAAGAAUCUAGAGGCCAGGCGGAGAAUCGCAUUCUUCAGUAACUCUCUGUUCAUGAACAUGCCACAUGCACCCCAAGUUGAGAAGAUGAUGGCUUUUAGUGUGCUGACUCCAUACUACAGCGAGGAAGUAGUGUACGGACGAGAACAGCUUCGAGCGGAGAACGAGGAUGGAGUUUCGACUUUGUACUACUUGCAGACAAUUUACGACGAUGAGUGGAGAAAUUUCUUGGAGAGGAUGAAGCGAGAAGGAAUGGAGAAAGAUAAUGAGAUAUGGACGAGUAAGUUGAGGGAUCUUAGGCUUUGGGCUUCUUACAGAGGACAAACACUUUCUCGUACUGUCAGAGGUAUGAUGUACUACUAUCGCGCACUGAAGAUGCUCGCUUUCCUCGAUUCUGCUUCAGAGAUCGACAUUAGAGAAGGUGCUAGGGAACUUCAUCCAAUGGGGCGAGAGGCUGGCCAAGAUGGAUUGAGCAGAAGUAGCAGUUCAAUGAGUUUGCUGUUUAAAGGCCAUGAGCAUGGGACAGCUAUGAUGAAAUUUACGUAUGUGGUUGCUUGUCAAAUAUACGGUACUCAGAAGGCAAAGAAGGAUCCUAAUGCAGAGGAAAUACUCUACUUGAUGAAAAAUAAUGAUGCUCUACGUGUAGCCUACGUUGACGAAGUCAACGCAGGAAGAGAUAUGAAGGAUUAUUAUUCUGUUUUGGUCAAAUAUGAUGCUGCGCUGGACAGAGAAGUGGAAAUCUAUAGAGUGAAGCUACCUGGCCCGAUUAAGCUCGGAGAAGGAAAGCCAGAGAAUCAGAAUCAUGCUUUGAUUUUCACCCGUGGCGAUGCGGUCCAAACCAUUGAUAUGAAUCAGGAUAAUUACUUCGAAGAGGCUCUGAAAAUGCGGAAUCUUUUGCAGGAAUAUAGGCAGUAUUAUGGAAUCCGGAAGCCGACCAUAUUGGGAGUCAGGGAACAUAUUUUUACCGGUUCGGUAUCGUCGCUGGCGUGGUUCAUGUCUGCUCAAGAGACGAGUUUUGUUACUUUGGGACAGAGAGUAUUGGCGAAUCCUUUGAAGGUUAGAAUGCACUAUGGCCACCCGGAUGUCUUUGACAGAUUCUGGUUUUUCACACGUGGCGGGCUCAGUAAGGCUUCGAGGGUGAUUAAUAUCAGUGAGGAUAUUUUUGCUGGGUUCAAUUGUACGUUGCGAGGUGGGAAUGUGACUCAUCAUGAGUAUAUCCAGGUUGGGAAGGGAAGAGAUGUUGGUUUGAAUCAAAUAUCGAUGUUCGAAGCGAAGGUUGCCAGUGGAAACGGCGAGCAAGUUCUCAGCAGAGAUGUAUACAGGUAAAAUUACGAUUUUGAUCUUAAAAUCUUAAGGUUUUACGGUUUUAUUGGUGUUUAAACCAUUUUGACUACCCUGCAGGUUGGGACACCGACUGGAUUUCUUCAGGAUGCUCUCGUUCUUCUACACUACAGUGGGAUUCUUCUUCAACACGAUGGUGGUAAUCUUAACUGUUUAUGCAUUCUUAUGGGGCCGGCUUUAUCUGGCUCUUAGCGGCGUUGAAGCUUCAGCUUUAGCCAACAGUAGCAACAACAAAGCACUUGGCGCCAUUUUGAACCAGCAGUUCAUAAUCCAGCUCGGUAUCUUCACCGCCCUUCCAAUGAUCGUCGAAAACUCCCUCGAGCAAGGAUUUCUUCAAGCUAUUUGGGAUUUCUUAACAAUGCAGCUCCAGCUCUCAUCCGUGUUCUACUCAUUCUCCAUGGGAACUCGCUCUCAUUUCUUUGGCCGUACAAUCCUCCACGGUGGCGCAAAGUAUAGAGCAACUGGACGUGGCUUUGUCGUUCAACACAAGAGCUUUGCUGAGAAUUACAGACUCUACGCCCGUAGCCAUUUCAUCAAGGCGAUUGAACUCGGUCUGAUUCUCACAGUCUACGCAUCACACAGUCCGGUUGCUAAGGAUACAUUCGUAUACAUAGCUUUAACUAUCUCCAGCUGGUUUCUGGUAGUUUCAUGGAUAAUGGCUCCCUUUGUGUUCAAUCCAUCCGGGUUCGAUUGGUUGAAGACAGUAUACGAUUUUGAGGAUUUCAUGAACUGGAUUUGGUACAAAGGCGGAGUCUUUACAAAACCCGAACAGAGCUGGGAAAAAUGGUGGUACGAGGAACAGGAUCAUCUCAGAACAACUGGGCUUCUCGGGAAGUGUAUGGAGAUCGUUCUAGACCUCCGAUUCUUCUUUUUCCAGUUCGGUAUAGUCUACCAACUCGGUAUCGCAGUGAAAAGCACUAGCAUCACCGUCUACUUAAUCUCAUGGGUAUAUAUCUUCGUUGUGGUAGCUAUCUACGUACUGGUAGCGUAUGCCCAUUCAAAAUACGCUGCUAAAGAACACAUCUACUACCGUAUGGUCCAGUUUCUCAUAAUUAUUCUGGCAAUACUUCUGAUGAUAGCGCUGCUGGAAUUCACAUCGUUCAGAAUUGGUGAUUUCUUCACCAGUUUGAUGGCAUUCAUCCCAACCGGAUGGGGAUUGCUUUUGAUUGCUCAAGUGUUUCGGCCGUGGAUUCAGUCCACUGUAAUCUGGGAGCUCGUGGUUUCGGUUUCGAGGUUAUAUGAUAUAAUGUUUGGAGUUAUUGUGAUGGCUCCCGUUGCUUUCUUGUCGUGGAUGCCCGGGUUUCAAGCUAUGCAGACAAGGACAUUGUUUAAUCAAGCCUUCAGUAGAGGUCUCAGGAUCAUGCAGAUUGUCACUAGCAAGAAGUCUAUGAUCUGAGGUAUGUUAAAAUGAUUUGUAGUCGACUUAGUUUGUUUCUUCAAGGAAACGUUAACCUGUGUUUUGGAUUGCUUGGGCUCCAAGCUAUGCAGGCAAAGAUAAUGUUCUGUCAAGCUUUCUCGAAUUAUGUCACUAGCAAGAAGUCUGUGCUUUUGAGGUAAACCUAACUUAUCCUUCCUUGUCCAAAUGAAAUCCAACGAAAUUCGAAUAAUCUGUUGUUGAUAACUGAUAUGGAGAUCACCUUUUCCUAAGUAAGUUGAUCUUUGGCCAUGUACUAUUUUCAGGCAUAUUAUCAGUGUUCGUCAGAAGAGCGUAUCAUGCUGGUGUACCGCACCGGUUCAACAGCAUAUUAGAGACCGAAUCGGUAUGUUUCAUUCCAGUUUAUCGCGGUUGUAUGCUGCAUUUUACUAAACUUGGGAUGCAUGCUCUGUUCUUCGUUCUGCCAACAGUCUCCAAGUGCCCUGGAGAAAUGCUUGUCUUAGCUUCUUGUUAUUAAUGAACGUUACAUAAACCCAAUGAUUGAAUCUUUCCCAACAAUUUGAGUUAUCGGAGAUAUAACAGCUUCACUUGCAAAAUGCUUGGGGAACGUUUGCAAACUUAAAUCCUGUGUUGAUAAAUGUUUAUAAACCAUUACAACGUUACGAUACAUCAACUGAACCUGAAUGGAUCUCCGUUCUGUGUGUGUUGCAGGUGCAGGUGCAGUGUGGAGUUGUCGACGGUCGAGCUUAGCUAGAGUUCAUAUUAGUGUUUCGAUGUUGGGGACGUCACCCUUUAUAGUUUCGUAGCUUUGCACCUUGUGUGUUUAUCGUCUCGUAAUGAGCUGAUUACGAGUUAUCUAUUCGAUUCGAGUUGAUAUUCAUCAGUUUGGUAUCAGGUAGAAUGGUACAUAGUUAGGAAAUGAUGAACCAAUUUGAAGCAGUUGGAUGUAGGAAGGUUGUAAUUUCAAUUUGGGGCACCUUAGUGCUAUUUUGUUAAAAUUCGAUGAGUUAACAGGGUGAAACUUGUGUUUUUAGUUGUUUCCAAUACGUUAAUUAAAAAUUAAUUAUUUUUUUAUAAAUUUUAAUAAAAAAGAGUAAUAUCCACGGAAAAGACAAAAAACCCAUAAAAAUAUGAAAGUUUGUAAAAUUUUAAAUCGGCUAAUUUUAAAAAUUUUCAAAUUGCACAAAAAUAACUCGAGAUCACACCAAAAUGUUCAAAAUCACACCUAGGUGCAAAAAAACACACCAAUAUGCAAUUUUUUUCGUACCAACGUCCCCCAAGUCCCAUGAUUCCUUUUGUCAUGCAUUCAAUUACAUUGUGCAUUCACAAAAUUAAUUAUUUUUGGCUUAUUCAUAGAGAUAAAAUCGAAUUAGUUUUUUCAUAACUAUCAUUAUAAAUGUCGAAAGAUGCUUCUCACCUCAUCUCCCUUUGUGUCGAGAAAAGAAGGAUUUCGGUUCAACCAGAAGAACCAUUUGAUUCCAAACCAUUCAUUUUGCCGACAAUUCGAGUGGAACCCAUAGUGUAGAAAUAAAUUCAAAUUCAAAGCCAUUAAUGAGAAAAUAGACGAUUCUGUUCGUUACUGAUUAAUCAUAUAAAUAAUAAAUAACACUUCCCCCAUUUUUGGAUUAGUACUAUUACUAACUAAUUAAUUCCCGCGUCCCACGUGUCCCGCCAUUUACGGAGAGAUCGAACCGCAGUCACCGAUGGAGCUACUGUGAUCGUCGUCGUCGAAGGAAAACGAAGAGUUCGUCGUUCUAGUUUGUCGUUCUCUACUUCUUCUUAGCUUGAUUUGGAUUCGAAUCUCUGAAAGCCACAAACAAUGGAGAGUCCUCUGCUGGGGGAGACCAGCGACCAAAGCCGAUACCGUUCGGAUCACAUCUUCCGACGCCGCGCCGACGCCAUUGCUUACGGCUCCAACUUCCAGCGCGCAGCUGCUCUCGUUGAUCUGGUUUUGCUCACUUGCUUGCUCUGUUUGGAUCCGGAUUUGUACUUUAGGUAUUUGUUGCCUGUUUUGGCUUGUGAAAAUUUGAAAAUACUGUGUAGGCGGAAGAUGGAGUUGGCUUACCGGAGCAGAUUCUCGACCACUCCAGCUUUGGAGCUGCAGCGAAGAAUUACUUUGUGUUUAUUAAGUUUGAAUUUAUCUGGACGCUUAACUACUUUGCUCUAGUUCUGCUGAAUUUCUUGGAGGUUAGUGUGUGUGAAAUUUUGAAUCAGGAUGGAAUUGGAAAUUGAAUUUCGUGAAAUUUUGAUUUUAAUUCGUUUGAAUUUUCCUGGUUCAGAAACCGCUUUGGUGUGCAAACUGUACUUCGGAUUGCUGUCAAGAUAGAGAUUUCUUCUACUUAGGACAGUUGCCAUACUUGAACAGCUUGGAGACCCUUAUCUACGAGGUAUCUUGCUUCUUCAGAUGCAUUCACUUUUCUAGAUAUGGCUAAUGGAACUAAGUGGCCUUUUUUUGGAACUAUGCAGGCUAUUACUUUCAUUAUACUCAUUGUUCACAUUUUCUUCCCACUUUCAUAUGAAGGCCCCCUGAUUUUCUGGAAAAGUGCUCUAAAUUGGUUCAAGGUAUUGACGUAUGGUCUAAUAAUUCUAUGAGCUACAUCAUUAGUUGUCUCCUUGUUUCUAUUAAGACUAAUUUACAGUGGCAUGUUCCAUUCAGGUUGUUUGCCUUGCAAUCUUGGUUGCUGAUUUACUAGUUUAUGGCCUCUACUUGUCUCCAGUGGCCUUCAGUGUUCUUCCAGUCAGGAUUGCUCCGUAUAUAAGAGUUGUCUUUUUCAUUCUGAGUAUCAGGUAUGCGUUGCUAAAAUAAAAUAAUCUAUGGCAGCAUCGUUAUGAUGCUAAUAAAAAACAUUAAGAUACUAGUUGCUUGUUUCGUUUAAAUUCUGAUAGCUCGGUAUUGAAUUGAAUGGCCAUCAUGUUUCUAAUGUCAUCAGGGACUUGCAGAAGAGCAUCAUAAUCCUGGCUGGAAUGCUUUGGACCUACUUAAACAUCUUGGUAUGUUAACUUACUUCGCGAUUGCACAUUUCCUCAGAUUGGAUUCGUGUUUCUUUGGAAUGGCCAAUGUAUCCUGCAUCCUGAAAGAACUGAUUUUUUGCUCUCCUUCUGACCGGUUUGCACGAACUGCAGGCGCUGUGGCUCCUGUUUCUUCUGUUUUCUAGUUGGGUGGCCUAUGUCAUGUUUGAAGAUACUGAGCAAGGGAGAACAGUAUUUACAUCAUAUGCCAUCACAUUGUAUCAGAUGUUUGUCUUGUUUACAACAUCUAACAAUCCAGAUGUGUGGAUACCUGCAUAUAAGUAAGUCUCCUUUCAGUAACUCAGCAAAAGCUACCAUUUUUAAAUGGUCUUAUUAAAUAAACCACCUAUCGUGUUUCUACUAGCUCAAUACCUGCAUGCAUAUGUGAUAGUUCAGCUGGUUUUGUGUUCUUUUACAGAGAAUCACGAUGGUAUUCCCUGUUCUUUGUUAUCUACGUGCUACUGGGAGUCUACUUUGUCACCAACUUGAUUCUUGCCGUUGUGUAUGAUAGCUUCAAAAAUCAGGUAUGCUUCUGUAAGAACUUUGAAAUAGUAUCUCCCCAUUUAUCUGGUAUGUGCAAGUAUAUCCUUGUCAGAAAAAUGUAAAAAAAAUCUUCUGAUGUAGCUUCUGAGUGUAGAUUUGGAUGAUUUCUAAUGUCUGUGUGCAUUCAUGAAAGUGUAAAUACAUAAGUCUGAUUUUUGUGUAGCUUGUGAAACAAGUUGCUGAGGCAGACAACAUGAGGAAAAGAACGUUGAUGAAAGCCUUCAAUCUCAUUGAUAGAUUUGUAAGUAUCAGCCUUUGAGAACUUCGUAGGCAGACAGACAGCAUACUGCACCACGAAAAUUUUCACUUGUCCAUACUCGAUAAUUUCUGUUCAAAAGGUGUUUAGUAAAAGCUAGAGUAAAGUACUAGAUUCGCUUGUGGACUUAGCUAACGUUUAUAUUCAAGAUUAGUGUUUUUGUUAUUCUUUCAUAGAUGGUAGCCUAGCUGGCUGUCUGUAUUUGGUUACUGGUCGGAUUUCUACCCUUCCUCUCCAUCCCCUAAGUAUUUUCCAUCUUAUUAUGACACCAUUUUCAUUCUAAUGGAGCUCAUUAUUUGCGGAGCAGGGUGUUGGAUAUCUCGAUAAAGAACAGUGUAUCCGUUUGUUUGAAGAACUUAAUCAGUACAGGUACCCCUAUGCGAGGGAUUUGGAUUUACCCAUAAAAUGUGGUUCUGCUACACUAGAUUUCUAUGUUAAAAACCAUAGCUUAUGUUUUCUCCACAGUGAAUUUCCAUAUAUUGUUCGUGCAGGACUCUUCCAAAGAUCUCAAGAGAAGAAUUUGAGUUAAUAUUCACUGAGCUUGAUGAUAGUGGUGAUUUUAAGGUAUAUUCAUUUUCUUGCAACGAUAUUGUUAUCAUAUUCCUUUUUCUCUUCACUUCAAAUUCCCGUCUGGAUUUCUUUGUUUCUUUAUAUGAGCAGAUAAACUUGGAUGAAUUUGCCGACCUCUGCCAUGCCAUUGCUUUAAGAUUCCACAAGGAAGAUGUUGUGAGUAUCUCUCCUUACAACUCUAAACAAGGAAUUUCUCACGGCUUAAAACUCUCUUUUGUGACACUUUUGGGUUUUGGUUGUAGGAAUCCUACUUCGAAUACUUUUCCAAUGUCUACCAUGCACCAUUGUCUGAGAAGCUAAAAGACUUUGUGAAACGCCCUAUAUUCGGAUAUAUAAUAUCCUUCAUUCUUGUCGUCAAUCUUGUCGCUGUGAUCAUCGAAACAACGGUAGGCAUGAAGCAUUCAUACGAAAUACUUCUUUCUCUCGAUGAGGGUCAUCUUGCGACCACUCACCUAUGAACACUUUUUUUUUCUCCAGCUUGAUAUAGCAGACAAUUCUGGUCAAAAGGCCUGGCAAGUGGCAGAGUUUGUAUUUGGUAAGUAUUUUCUAAAUCAUUUUCGUCAUCUACAAUAAUUUAGCCACUUCCUAAUAGCUUGCUUUUUGUGCAUCAGGAUGGAUCUAUGUGCUAGAAAUGCUGUUGAAAGUUUAUUCAUAUGGAUUCGCAAAUUAUUGGAGGGAUGGACAGAAUCGAUUUGAUUUUCUCAUCACUUUAAUCAUUGGUAAGUCAUCAAUAAUAUACUUUUCAGUUAACCUUUGUAAUUGAUUGGGGCAUCAACAGUUGUCCUUUAUCAUGCAUGAAACUCGUCCAUUCAUUUCAGAAUAUCUUGUUCAUACGAAUUUCAUGAAAAUCUUCACUUCAGUGAAGGCUUCUCCUGUUGAAAUUUCUGCACGUAGAGACUGACAGUAGUCCUGUACCCUUGAUUGGCAGUUAUUGGAGAAACCGCGACUUUCGUAUCUCCAGACGCUCAGACAUUCUUCUCAAAUGGAGAAUGGUAUGUUAGUACUUCAUCAACCAUGCUUGAUUAUUGAUUUGCUAACGACCUAUUAUUCUCUGCUCAAGAGCCCUUAUUUUACCUUUUUGCAUGUAUACAGGAUUCGUUACCUCCUACUUGCCCGAAUGUUAAGAUUACUUAGGCUGUUGAUGUAUGUAAAAAGUUACCAAGCUUUUCUUGCCACAUUUUUAACCCUCAUCCCAAGUCUGAUGCCAUAUUUGGGAACAAUAUUUUGCAUCCUAUGCAUAUAUUGUUCUCUUGGCGUCCAGGUAUCGUAACACAUAGUUGGUUCUUUUUUAUCAAAAACACAUAGUUGGUUUUAUCAGUAAUGUUCUUUACAUGUUGACUGAUAAUCUGUGCUUUUUAGAUCUUUGGCGGAAUUGUUAAUGCUGGAAACCUCAAUUUGAACGCCACGGAUCUUGCUGAUAAUGAGUAUCCUAAUUUAGACUUUGGAUUGUGAUAAGCAAGCUUCUUAAAUAUAUUGGUUAUUCCUACAGCUUCUUGUAGUUUGCAUAGAGAAAUUCUUAAUGGUCGCGUUUCCUUGACUACGAACCAGUUAUCUACUUUUCAAUUUUAACGACUACCCGAAUGGGAUGGUGACUCUCUUUAAUCUGCUCGUCAUGGGAAAUUGGCAAGUCUGGAUGCAGGUAUUUGUCAGCACUACAUAUCUCCCUGAUCUAAUCAGAUAUUAUUCUUUCUGUAGUAUGAACAUUUUGUUUUUUGUUUUUUUUUCUAUUCUAGAGCUACACAGAAUUGACUGGCAACCGUUGGACUGUUGCUUACUUCAUCAGCUUCUACCUAAUUACGGUUCUACUCCUCUUGAAUUUGGUGAGCUUUCCUUUGUAUAAUGAUUUGCAAAAAUUUCUCAGUUGUUUUUUUAUAGUAUGCACGUAAUGUUCACCUCCUCGUGGUAUUAUCGUGUGUGUAACUCUGUAAAUUCCAUGGAUGCUAGGUUGUUGCUUUUGUCUUGGAGGCAUUCUUCGCUGAAAUGGAACUCGAAUCCUCCGAGGAAGAAGAUGAUGUAUUUUUGCUGCCAUUCAUGUCAAAUAUCGAAAUGGAUGGUUAACAAUUGACAUUUUGAUUGCCUUGAUUAACAUUUUUCCACCUGUAUUCCAGGAUUCCAGCAACACAAAGCCUCGUACCCGAUAUAUGGGGUAUGUACCAACUACUUACUAGCUAUUCGUCCGAGUUUCACUAAAUAACUGUGAUUUUGUUUCAUCAAUUUGGGAGAACUCAUUGUGAUUGUCUCGUUGAUGCAGCACGAAAACUCGUAGUCAGAGAGUUGACGUUCUUCUCCAUCAUAUGUUAAGUUCAGAGCUGAAAACAGCCGACUGCUGAUACCUUGUCUUUGUCCGAAUACCCCGGUUAGUAACCAUCCGACUCUGAUAAUCGUCCGGAUCAAUCGUUCAGCUACUAUUUCUCGUUUGGUAUAGACACCUUGUGCACCAAUUUAAAUCUCCGAUCGUGACAUCCCCCACUUAUUGCAGGCCAUCUUCUACUAUUUGCCACACCUGGACACGCUUCUUUGCGCAACAACGAUUCUUGAGUUGGCCGUAGAGUACGCAAACAUCGUAAGUCCGGGUUUUAUCUUCUUCUCAACUACGAAAUAAACAUAUUCGACACGGAUUCGUGCGUUAAUUACGCUCUUGAUAUAUUGUAGAUGCUAGUUAAUGUAGCUAGAGAAUAUUGUAGUAGGCUUUUGAUAUCUAGUGUUAUUCGACACGAAAAAAGUCGCGAGCUCUAUUCAUAGUUGAAAUAUAUCGGUGCAACUUUGAUGACAUUGGUUGUUACAGAAUCUAUGUUGAGUUGGUCUAAGGUUUGAAGAUUCCUGGGUUUCAAGUGGGACGAGGAUCUAUGCUUUUCUCCAUUCAUUCAGCUUAAAUUAUGUUGUUAUACUUUUUCUGUCCACUUCCAUUUCCUGCUUACACAGAGUAUUGUGCUCGUUGGUGAGGCUAGAUGUUCAGGGUUCGAUGGAUUGAUUGGGGUCGGACUGUUUCCUAAACCGAGUCAGACUGUUUUAAUUAUUAAAUAGAUAUAAUGAAGCUGGAUCACACAACUUUUGAAUUGAGCCGGAUCAAACCAGCAGUAUACAUGGUCAAGUUUCAUAAUAUAACGUGUAAAAGGACAUAACAUAUUGAACAUUUUCUAAUCAUGGUUCAACGGGACAAGAAUCGCCAUCAACAGAGCCAACACCCGAUUUUGACCAAGUUCACAAUCCGCUAGGCCGCUUUUGGGUUGGGCACCGGUUUGAGGUUGUUUCUUCGGUCUGUCUACACAUGCCACGACUUGGUGACCGUCUUUGGAAGCUUCGAAUUCUAUUGGCUCUCCGAAUGCAUAGAGAUGAUCAAAUGGCCAAAGAGAAAUGCCGGAAACCGAAUAGUAUAAUAACUGUUUGAGAUCGAUCAAUGCCAUCAACGAGACAUGUUACACGUUAUGGAAUGAGGUGGACACACUGAUCAUCGAAUUCAUCUUUCUUCGAAACUAUCAAUUAGUCUAUACGAUCUAAUUUCGAGAUAAGAACACACUCAUCAUCAUACAGUCAUACAACAGAUGUGUAAGCAGAUGAGAUGGGUCAACAAUUAUGUGCUGCAAAAUCUGGCCAAGUUGCAUGGAAAGCUGAUAUCAUCACCAGCAGAAGGAAACAAACAACCCUAAAAAGAUGCAUGAAAUCAUCUGGUAAACAAAAGCCAAGAAAAGCUCAAAGGUGCAUAUCUAGUCUUCCAACGAAUAAGGAAAGACAGUAUUGCCCCUCCUAUUCUAUUGUUUUUUCUUCCAUGGGUUCUAUGGGCAGUAUUUGAUUCUAUGAAUCAUACUCCAAACUUAGCUAGCAAAACCUUAGGGAAUUGGUUCCUUUGUAGCACUAUGAAGAAAUAUUGAUAUUAAACUACAUUACUUGUGAUUACUAAGUUGAUGCAUGAUUCGACAGUCGAUGGUGUUGAUGACGUUAUUCACGGUGGCAUCACGUACAAAUACAAUAUUUUGUGCAGUCUAAAAAUCAGACCGUCCAUUUCGUAGUAUGAAAGGCUUUUUUAGUCUUCCUACUUCAUAGUUUGUAACCGCUAGCAAACCUUAGGGAAUUGGUUCUUUUGUAGGGUAGUUUUGCACUCUUGGUAUUAUACUACCGUACUUGUGAUUACUAUAAGUUGAUGCAUGAUUCAACAGACGACGGUGUUAAUGGUACUAUUUACUGUGGCAUCAUGUAUAAGUACAAUGUUUCGUGCAGUCUAGAAAUCAGACCGUCUAUGUCUUAACAUAAAAGUCUCUUUUAAUCCGCCCACUUCAUAGUUUGUAAUAAAUUUCAACUUGUACUCCGUUUGAUCUCUACUCCGUUCACACCUCAUGUUCAAGAGCCGUCUAUCAGAGAAAAUCUCGAUCAAAUCAGCACAAGUUCCCAUCCCACAUGUCUAAAUAUAAUUGGAUGACAUUUUCUAACAUUUUUUGAUUUUUUUAAUAGUGAUAAGUUUUUAUCUUAUUUCUAGAAGAUGAUCCCCAAAGAACAAACAAUCACCUUCUCCAAAGUCUUCUUUUGAGUUCCCUCUUCUUAUUAUAUAAAAGCAACCCCUACCUCCUCCUCCCUUUCAAGCAAAGUGGACUAAACUCGACUGGUUCGACACCGAAAUCUCAAGAUAUCUCGAAGAUGAAGAGCAUGAAAGGAGAAGUGGAGUUGGAGAUGGAGGCAGAGAGAGCAUGGAGGAUGUACAUAGACAACGACACCAUCAGCAAAAUCAACCCUCAAAUGCUUUCUCAGGCUAAGUAUUUGCAAGGAGAUGGCAGCCCUGGUAGCAUCAGACUCUUCCAGCUUGGUCCUGGUAAAUAGCCAAUCAGUCACUCAUCUUCUUCAAAGUUUUCCAAUUGGUCAAACUCUUUCAAGUUAUGGGUAGCGCUACGAUGCCCCUGAGGGUAAUGUUUACCUCACUGGUGUACUGGUAGAUAAACAUGCUUUUAAUCUCUUAUUCUUUUGAAGCAUAAGAGUCUACAUCAUAUCAUAAAUGACAAUUCUACCAAUUUGAACCAAAAAAUUAAUUUGGUACAAAAAUUGAUCUAUCGUUUUAGUUACAAAAUGCAAUUCUAGAAGGAAACUGUAAAAAUAUCGGGUGUAAUUUUAUACUACAGUGAAUAAAAAUUUUAACUAAAUUUAUUUUAUGCAGCUCUAUUGAUUUCAACAUUUAAUAAACUAAAAAAUUCAUUCUAGAUAGUUUAGAUGGCAUUGAACCCCAAGUUUAGUAGGGGCACCGUAACGUUGGCCUAAUGUUUAUAUGAUGCUGCAGCUGUGCAAAACUAUGUGAAGGAAUCGACGCAGAAGAUCGAAAAAAUAGAGACCGGCCGGUCAAUAACCUACACAGUCAUCGCCGGCGACCUCAGCAACAUGUACAAUCCUUACAGGGUCACCUUCUCCUUCCUCCCUUUCGAAAACCACAAAAAAUGCAUCGCUCAAUGGCAGGCCGAGUUUGAGCCAAUUUCCAAGUCGACCCCUUUGCCGGAGCAAGCCAGAGACACUGCGCUCGCCUUCCUCAAGUCGUUCGAUAAGUUCGAGCGAUCGCCUAAUUCUGCAUAACAUCUUGUUCCCUGUAAUAAGAACUCUGAAUAAAUGGCUUACUUUUUAUCAAUCUGGAGAAUCAUGAUUCAUUUACAAAACCUAACUAGAAAUAAUGUCUAGAAAUCAAGAAAGAUUACUAAUCCGAAUUCGUUCCCCGAAAAAAUUGUGACUAGAACAUGAUCCCUAUUCCGAGCUACUUCAAUUACUUGUUCGAAACUGCUCGCAAUCUAUCAAUCCAAAUCUGGAAAAGGUGUUGAUAAGAAUGUCGAUCAUCUUCUUCACUUUGCCCUUGAAGUCGGGCGAGCCGUUCUUCGCUGCAUUGCUAACAUCAGCAACCCCAUCUUUAACCGUAAUUCGACCGACUUCGCUUCCAGCGGCAUAAGCUUCGCAUGCUAUCAGGAUGUUGUGAGCAACCUGCUGGAAAUGUCCCUUCACGAGGAUUUCGAAAUGCUGCAAAACAGGGGGAUCAUAGUAAAAAAAACCAGUUCUUUGAACGAAGCCACGUAUCUAACAGCCGGAGGAAAAAAUAACAAGUUAUAAGAUUUAACCUUUGGAGGUCUUCUAAGGGUGUACAUCAUUGUCUUCAGAGACAAAAUGAAGGCAUUUUCGCUGUACUCUCUGCUGUGUUUAAGCCCUGCCGGUCCAGUUUGGUUCGCGUAUCCCGGCUCGUUGUAGUAUGGCUGUGCAUUCAAAAUGAGAGCUUGUAUGGACACUAGAACUUGAAGCAUGGUAGAUUUCCCUGCGAUCCACUUCUCGUUUUUAUCCCCACUCCAUGUUCCCAAUAGGCUCAGGCAGACUUUGCCACAUUCGUACAGAUUCGGAUUCAAUCGGAGUCCACCGGAGUAGUAGUAUACCAGCUAUGAUCGAAACAGAAAACAACUUAAAACUAUUUUGCAGCAGAAGCACAAGAAGUAGUAAGGGAUAUUCACUAACUGAGCCGAGCCCAACUUAAUUGUCUCGAGCUUGGCUCGUUACUUUUUCGACGAGUUCAAGCUCGAGCUCGAGCUAGAAACUUUUAGCUUGUGUCGAGCUCGAGCUUAUUCGAUCCUAGCUCAUUAACUAGUCUUGACGAGCCAAACAGAGCUCAACUUGAACUUCGCUCAUUGAAACCCCCUAAUGAGACCAAUUUAAGCUAAAUUUCAAGUUUGUACACAAAAAAACAUCAACGAGUUAUUGAGUCUACUAACGAGCUAAAUACUCGAGUUAGUAUUCAAGUUGGCUCUCGAGCUCGAGCUAGCUCGCGAGCCUAUCGAGUCGAGCAUACCAUGGUUCAAGCUUGGAUCAUUUAAAAUCGAGCCAAGGCACAAACGAGCUUUUUUCGUGCCGAAGCUGCUCACGAGCAGCUUGGCUCGUCAACAGCUCUAAGCAGAACAAACAUCAUCAGAUACAUCGCCAGGGGGGGUGGAUAGAUACAUACUGGUGGAGCAUCGGGAUAGUUUGGUGGGAAGAGGCAGUCGAAGACGAAAAGGCCAUCGUGGUAAGGAGUGCCAGCCGGCCCGACAAUGACAGAUCUCAAUAGGUCCAUCCUUGAUUCAUACACUCUAACAAAGAUCGUCUCUGAACAAAAAAGACUCCAAACAGUCAACAAAAGUUGCAUCGUUGCAAAAGGAUAUAUCAAGAAAACUCACCAGGUAAGUUGUUCUCAAGAAUCUUCCAUUCCUCCUGGAUUCUCUUCGCCCAAUUCUUCGCAGGAGCCGCCUGCAAAACAACAACCAUAAUGUAAAUCCUAACCGAACAAGAGAUAGAUGAUCAUCUCCUGAGAACAAUGUACUAACUAACCUGAUCGCCCGUGCGAUUGUAGUGAUGAUCCGAAUGAUCAUCCACCAUAUCAAACAGUUUGAAAUCUUUAAACUUUUCGAUGCCACCUUCUUCUACCUUACUGCUAGAGCUCGGCUCCCCUUUACUAGCUGAAACACUAGCACUAGACGAUAGCAGACUUUGAAAAUCUUGAGCAUGACCAUUGGGAACUGCAGGGGUUUCGACAGUAUCAGCCGGUUCCUUUAACCAAGGCAUGGAUAUCUCCACCCCUGUGGGAAGAUCCACAUUGUCGAAUUGAGAUUGAAGAUUCACAUAUUCAUCUUCGUACACCUUGGUGUCAUCAUCAUCCAUUUCGUAAUCAGACAUAUAGUCGGCAUAAUACUCGUCAUCCAAGAGAUCCUCAUCGUGAUCGGACAACUCAUAGCUAAAAUCACUCUUGCCCUGAUUGCCACUGCCUAAUACCGAUCCGGAAGCAUCCUAAAACGAAAGUUCAUCACAAACAGUCAUGGCCAGUUCAGAAAUAUAAAAAUCACGACAAACAGCAAUUAACGAUCGAGCAAACCUUAUUUCCAUUGGCCAACGAAUCAUCAUCUUCCAUUUUCGAUUUCCCCUUCGUAUCAGCACCAACCUCUUUGGUUAUGACUUCAAUUUCAGCAUCAAUUCCAUCCAAGACCUGAUAUGCAAUUUCAGUUUAGUUUAGUUAUGAUAAUAGAAAAAACGAAAACCCUACACAACAAAUCGAAGACAUUGGUUCACUGAUCACAAUCAAACUGGAACAGCAAAGCGAAAUUGAGUUUCAUUCAUGAUCAAAUUCAAAAUAUCAGACCUCCAAAACCCUAAUGAUCAUGCCAUCAAAGCAUGAAACGCUAUGAUCGCAGAAAAAUCAAAGCCAUUGGAUACACUGAUUACAAUCAAACUGGAACAGCAAAGCGAAAUUGAGUUUCAUUCAUGAUCACAAAUACAAAAUCGAGGACCUCCAAAAACCCUAAUGAUCAUGCAAUCGAAGCAUGAAACGUUAUGAUCAAAGAAAAAUCGAAGCCAUUGGAUACACUGAUCACAAUCAGACUGGAGCAGCAGAGCGAAAUUGAGUUUCAUUUACGAUCAAAAAUUCAAAAUCACCGACCUCCAAAAACCCUAAUGAUCAUGCAAUCAAAGCACCAAAGACGUGAAAUUCUGAUUGGAUUUACCUCGUUUUGCUUGGGUUUCUUGUGGGUUGAAGCAGCGGAGGAAUCCGCCACGUCAAGAUCCAUCGCUGAUCACCAAAAUCCUGCCAAGUUGGAAUUUUUUGGAGCUGGUUAGUUUACUACACAAGUACAAAGGCGGGGUCCGCCAUGGAUACAGACUUAAGCUUGGAGAUUUUUUCAAAACAGAAUUGCAUUAACAGCGAUCGAAACGCCGGAAAAAACCCAAAGAGGAAAAAGAAGAUCUUUUUACCAGAAGAGAAAUCUUCGAUCACUGUGAGCCGCCUCCCUCAAUCUCCUACGGACGCAUGCGUAUUAGUAGUUCAAUUGGUCUCUAUGAAAUAUUGUUCGUAAAAUAGCUAAUUGGUCAUGUAAUUUUGGGUUGGUUUACGUAUUAGCCCCCGAUUUUUGAACUGUGACGCAUUAAUCACGUAACUUACAAUCGAGGAAGACUCUUAUUUGCUCAAACCGUAAAUUGUGAGAUAACUGUACACCAUUUGAAAGUUCUGAGACAGGUAGAUAUCAUUGCCCGAACUUGUGGGAUCUAGUACACUUAAGUUGUAAGAUAAAUGUACACCAUUUGAAAGUUCUGAGACGGAUAGAUAUCAUGCUCAACAUUACAUGAUGUAUUACGAUAUGUACAUUCCGUUGGAUGUGAAAACAAUUGGUUGGAAACAAAAGGAUGAAGUCGUGACAAUGAUCCUCAUGAUCUCACUUAAAAUGAUUCCAGAAAAACAAGAUCUCAAUUCAUGCCACACAGAUUCGAGAAAGGGCCUAUUGCAUAAUUUUCUGUUGUAGAAAACUUGAUUGAUAGCUCAAACAUAUGAAUCUUUGCCAGCCACCAAUUCAACAAGCCUAUAGUUUUAUUCAGAAUUUUUUCGUAUGAUAUUUAAUUACCAUAUUAGAUAUUAACAAUUUUUUAUCACGUGAUCUAUAAUUUAUUUAAUUGUAUGUUGAGAAUUGAACUACGGUUUUUAAAAAUAUGGGCCUCAACCCGUUAAAAGCCCCAAUUUGCUCUUUGCCAGCUAAAGCCCAUAUCCCUUGUUCUCAAAUUUCCCGGAAAACUCGGAAACUUAACCGCGAAUUUUACCGCCAAAUCAUUCCCGCGCCAUUCUCAAUCCCCCCGCCAAAGAUCAAACCCUAAACCCCCCUUUCCCCUUCCCAUUUAAACGAAAAAAUCUCCAAUCGUUCCACUUGCCCACCACCUGUUCGUCGAAAUUCCCCAAAGAAAUCUCAGUCUGUAGUUCAGAUCAUGGUGGUAACUCUGGGUCCUGGAAAGUUCUACGGCAGCAGCCUCCCUCGCCCACGCUUCUUCGACAAUAUAACCUUCAACUCGGAGCGGGUCGAUCCACCGCUCUCCGUCAUGGAUCCUCUUCUCUCCUGGGCUCGUGAGGCUCACUGGUCCAUGGGAGGUCUCAGCACUGACCGCCUCCGCCUCCAGGGCCGGAUCGAAGGGAAUGUCGAUCGGCUUCGCAAGUCCAGAGAAAAGCAGACCAGAGCUACUCCACUUAAGCGGAAGAAUUGGGUCACGAAAGGCGAUGAACAAAGGGAUGAUGGCUCUGUUUCUCCUCCUCCGGUGCCUAGAGUGACGAAAAAAAGGAAGUUCAUCGAUCUGUUCGAAGGAGAAGAAGAAAGGAAAUGUCCGGCGAGGAAAUUGGUCGAUGAGUUUGAGAAGGUUGAGGAAUUGGAAUCCGAAUCGGUUCGAAGGAGAGCGAGGAGCAACAAUCGGAUCGGUGAUCCAGUGAUGAAAAACAAGUUGAAGAAGCGAUUGAGGAAAGUUGGAGAAGAUGAAAUUAGGAGUUCGCCUAGGUUUGCUAAGGAGAAUUCAGCUGAGAUUUGAAUUCAUAUGGUUUCAUCAAAGCUCUUAAAAAGUCUGUAUUUCGUAACUUGUAAGAACACUAUGAAUGAAAAGCCAUUUUAUCAGUGUAAAUCUUUCAAGCAAGAACAGUGUACAGAUUACAGAACUGAUCCGGAUGUUGAUUCUUGGUCGGACUCGGUCUGAUCGGUAAAAACACUGUUAAGCAAGCUUGCAACUAUUAACAUGGUUAAUCCAAUCCCUUUAUGUCUUUAUCAUCAUUGCAAACAAACAUUAUACACUGAGCAUCAGUAGUUUUUACUUGCAGCAUUGUUACGACUAUCUAUUUUUGGCCUACACUACGAUAUAAUUUGAGAUAAGCACACAUCUUGGAAGUAGUAGUGUUCACUGUUUCACCAAGCACAACUCUUUUCAGAUUACGGCCCUCUUCAAUGGCCCCUCGGAGUUUCGCCAACUUGCAGGAUUGCUCGGUGAUCAGCUUGUACAUACACAUUUGAGAGUUGAUUAGCAGUACUUGAGUGAUCAUCCCGGUGCCGUUCGGAUCACAACUGCACAGUCAACAAGUCCUUUUCUUAAAUCAUAAUCACUUCAUCUCAACAUCACAACCCUCUCAUUGAAAGCUGAAUUUUUUGGCGAAUUUGUUGCUGCAGGGAGAAUAACUGAAGAAGAAGAUAGGAGCUGCAGUGUACAUAGUGUGCAGCUUUGAGACUCGGCAUAACGUCAAGGCAGUGUUUGAUGCUUUCAGCCUCCAUAAACAAAAGAAGAAGAGACUCAAGAACAAAUCGCCCCUGCUCCAUUCUCUAAAUUAAAAUUUCCCCCCUUUGAAUCUUAGUAGCCUCUUCACAAUGUGGAUCUAUUAACUCCACACUUACACGGUCGUGGAAGUCCACACUUACACGGCCGUGGAAGUCAUGUCUUACACGGUUGGGUAAGUGUCGACUACACUUACACGGCGGUGGAAGACAAUCGGAUUGGUGAUGCAAUGGUGAAGAAGUUGAAGAAGCGAUUGAGGAAAGUUGGGGAAGGUAGUAGCGUUAGGUGUUCACCUAGGUUGGCAAAAGACUCAGUUGAGAUUUGAAUUCAAAGUAAUUGAAAGAAGUCUGUGUUUAUAACUUGUUAUAACAUGAAAAUCGUUUAGCUUGAGAAAUGAAAAACUCCACUAAGCAAGUUUGUGAUCAGAUCAGAUCGAAUCCGCCGUUCUAGUUUGCGACAUUGAAUCCAGAUUAUCGAUCUUAUUUCAGAAUUCUUGUUAACUACUCUGCAACUCUUAACAUGGUCAAUCCAAUCCCUUCUAUUAAUCAUUGCAAAAAAAACAUUAUACAGGUGAGCAUCUGUAGUUUCUUUCUUGCAGCAUCGUUAUGACUAUCUAUUUUCGGUCUACUCUACGAUAUAAUUCGAGAUAAGCACAUAGCUCGGAAGUUUUCUCUCACUGUUUCGGAAGGCACAACUCUUUCAUAUUCCGAUUCUCAUCAAUGGCGCCUCGCAAUUUCGCCAACUUGCAGGAUUGCUCUGUGAUCAGCUUGUAAGUCGAUGCCCUUUCCCACGGCACGAUGCCAAAAUCGUCGUUGCUGUCUUCCAUGUCGUCAACGAAGAGCUGCCACAUCAAGGCACCGGCACCGGCGUGCUUUCUCUUUGCGGAUUUGUAUAUGAUGUCGUAGACCGUCUUGUAGAGCCAGUCGCGCUGGGACGGCUGGAAGUCCUUGUUCAUGUUGGAUAACCCGAAUUCGGUGAAGAGGACCGGUUUGUUUAGCUCUUUGUGGCCGUCUUCGAUGUGGGACCGCAUCCACUUGGAGACGAAUGUCAGUUUGUCUUCGAAUGAUUGGUGAGCAACCCUAAAGCCAGAAAGUUAAAUGAGCAUUACGUGUGUGACAAGUUAAUAAGUUAUGACCGUAUAUACAGCUAUUCUCAUAUACACUAUAAUUUCAAAACUACGUACCAAACGACCCCUUAAAUAAUCGAAUCAAACACAUGAACAAUACUUACCAAUGAUCAGGGUAUAUGUGAACCGAUGCAAAAUCAAGGUGCACGACUUUCGAGUUGCGUAUGAAAUCCGAUCCAAGCUCUUCUGCCCAAUUUGCCGGAUUCACAGUCAGUCUUUUCGGGUUUUUUGGGCCAUAGAACCCUUCCAGCCCCACCGUUAAUAGAUGAUUGUUGUCGAUCGAUUUCACAAAGGCCGACAUUUCUUCAGUCCAGUCCUACAAAUCCACAAGUGGUUAGAGUACGUUACGAAUUCAAUUCAUAACAAGUUCAGCCUAAGCUACUUACUUGAAGAGUGUCUCCGGAAGGAUCGGUCAUGCACCGAGGUUCAUUCAUCAAUUCCCAGGCGAAUAUGGUGGGAUCGUUCCUGUACUCGACUCCAGUCACAGUAUUUUUCCUCGUGAGAACCGUCUGCAAUGAGGAUUUUACAGAUUAGACAAUAACUUGUGCAGUUGUGCGAGAAGAAAUUUAUGCAGAUUCCUUCACAAUGUGUCAGUAACUGGUUACCUGCAAAUAGUGCUUGAAGUACUUCUUGAUGGAUGGAUCGUAGAAGAACGAAUCAUUAGAAGCGCUCAAGCCAAUGCCUUCUUCCCACGCCCACCUUACGUACCGAUCUUUACCACCGUAUGCUUUCAAGUUGUUGACCAAACUCAGGAUUAGUCUCACUUUGUGUGCUCUUGCUUCUGCAAUGACAUGAUCCAAAGCCUGUUUCAAGCAUCAAAACGAACAAAUUAAGAAGGUGCACAUCUACAAUAUGGUUCAGUUUGGUUCCGUCUAUCAAAAUCAAAUUAAGAAAAAUGGAGAACAUGAUGCAUAUAACCAAAAGGAAACAGCAAAAUCGACAUUCAAAGCAUGGUUUGGUGGAAACUACCAGCCUUAGCUACCUCAUCUACCGAAUUCAAAGAACACAUGAUUAACUUUAGAAAAAGAAAAGAGGAAGGGGGGAGGGGGAAAGAAGGUAUCUUUUCAACCAGUUUCACCUACCAAUGAAGAGAGCAUCCAGAAGAAUCCAAUGAUCUAACCAAUGGCGGAAUAAAGGUGGACGAACGAACUUAGGCCACUGUCUAGGGUCAUCAGGUUCAAAAGUGACGAAAUCCUAGAUAAAAUUUUAAAAACCGAAGCUUUUACCUGUUGUGUUCUUGAAUUUCGCUGGGAGUGCGUUCAUACCUCAACCUUAAAAUCACGACCAGGUUCUUUAAAAAGGCAAAAGAACCGAUCUUUUCAACUAGUUUCACUAAGAAUGAGAAAUUGAGAACAGCUCAUUACAAAAAAAAUCCAAUGAAUCUAAAACAUUACAGAUUGAUCCAACAGCCUAAAAGGGUCCUACCUCAAGAACAAAAAUUGAAGCUUUCACCCGAUUUGUUUUUGAAUUUCGCCCAAUGUGCCAAGGUCGACAAACUUAGGCUACAGCUCAGGAUCAUAAGGUUCCAAAGUGACGAUAUAUCCUAGGUAAAAUUUUCAAAAGUUCGAAGCUUUUCACCUGUGUAUUUUCAAAUUUCGCCUAGGGUGCUUUGAAACUCACAUCAAACCUAAAAACCCCAACCAGGAUCCUAACCAUCCUGCUCAGCUAUUGGAGGAUCUAACAACACAGCAAAAUGCUCGACAUAAUUACCCAAGUAUAUUACAGAUUGAUGCCCAACAGAAGAAACGAUCCAUGCCAAACUCACAUCAACAUGAAAAAGAUUCAACCUUUUUACACAUACCUUGAAAACCCUUUCCUCAAACUGGCCAGGAGAGACCUGGAGGGCAUCACGGCCGCCAUCAUUGAACGCCCAAGUUCUACACACGGUGAGACCCAUCUUGGAACCAGCCUGCAACAUUCUACUAGUCUUGUGUCUCCUCUGAUCAUCAGCUGAAUGCUCCAUCAACCAAUAAGAAUUCCACCCAUUUACAUAGAAAGGCCUCCCAUCCAACACAAAUCCAGUCCCAUUCCGCUGCACAAAGCUCCAAGCUGGCGCCUUUGGCAGGAACCCUAUUGGCCAUGUGGCGCCAAAUGAUAGGUAGAUGAAGAUAACACACGAUGCUACUCCCAGAAUUGGGAUGCACGGAGCCGUACCUCCCAUUUGGUUAGCAAAUCAGCUAGAAAACUCAAGCAAACCCCUCAAUAGGUGAAUCUGAUGAACAAAAUCAAGCAAAUGUGUGGGGGAUUUAUAUGAACAGGAAACAAAACCCCAAUUGGUGAACGAGGAGACCGAAAGUAUGAGGUGAAAAGGGGAAAGAAGACCUAAUUAGGAAGAGACUGGAAAAGACCCAUGAGCUGAGAUGAAUGAAACAAUGGCUGGUGGGUGGAAUGUCGGUAGAUCUGUGGAGAUAUCUUGAAAUUUAAUAUUUCUCCAAGGAGCUGACAAGUUUCAGCCUUUUGUUUCCAGCUUUUGUUUCAUUCACACUCAAGGAUUCCUCUUCUUCUUCCUCCUCUUCUUCUUUCUCCCUUGAUCUUUGUAAAGGAAGGGAGAAUCGAGGGGAGGGAAGAAGGAAAUGGGAUUCGAAGAAGAAAGGAUGAAGCUUUGGUUUCUGUUUUGGCAUGUAAGUUCUGUGAAGCUUUUGAACCUUUUUCUUUCUCUUUUUAGCUUUCAUGUUUUCUAGUUUCUCAUAAUAGGAAGUUUAUGGUUUAAUUAAUUAAUUAAUUUAUAAAGGGAGAGAUAAUGAUUUUUUGUUUUGUGGGGGUAGGGACAAUGAAUGGUCACUAAUUACCUUAAUUAGUGAUGGGUAGAUGAGAUUUCAGAGAUGAUCAGCUCUCUUUUGGUCUAAAAUGGUAGUGAGGCUUGCCGAAUGAGGUGAGAGAUAAUUUGUAUUACGAUUUAAGAAGGAGAAUAGUUCAAUUAGGUAUAUCUAUGUUAAUGCUAAAUGAACUUGUUAUAGUGGUAGAUAGAAUGUGUGUCGGGUGGUUUGGAGAUUUUGAGUUUAAAUCCAGUAUAAUUUAUGUAAUGAAUAUCAAUAUAAUAUUUUUUUAUUUAUUCUAUAUUCACCGAGAAUCUCGAUUUACUCUGAAUUAAAAAUGUUAAUGCCAAAUGGCCAAAAGCUAAUUUAAUACUAUCCAUGUUAAUUUCCCAUUAUUCUAUGGUAUACAAAAUUGGUGUAGGAUUUGGAACGUUUGUUCCACUAAGAGACAUGAUGGAGUACUAUUCUAUGAUGGCUUUGUUUAUUUAGUAUAUUUUUAUACUCGAUGAAGGGAAAGAAACUAGAGAAAAAAGUAAGCCAUAAUUGGGACUUCAAACUAGCUUCAUUAUUAUGAUAAUUGAACUUCCAUGCAUUGUGCAUCUUAAUUAACACUUUAAAUAAACUAAGUUUAUGGAAGUACAUGUGAUGAGAAGGCAACAUUCAAGAGGAUAUAUACUCGCAUUUCAACCUCAUAUUUAACAUUUAAUAAGGUGUAGUACGCAAUUAAACACAUAAUGCACUAUAUUUUACACUUAUAACACCAACGUUCAUGGUAAUUUAUGAAUUUUCAUAUUACUUCUUUUGUAAACAUCGAUCAAAAUAAGACAAAUUCUGAUAUUAAUUUAGAAAUUCAUUAAUUUAAAAUUCAUCUUCCCUAAUCUAACUUGUAAGAAAAGAAAUAUAUCACCCGUAACGUUAAAUAAAAACCAUAUAUAUAAGAUCGGGCAUGCUUGUUUGCUUUGCAAGUGACAUUAGCAAGUGAAAUUACACCAAGUCCGAGGCAUGUGUGAUUAAUUCCAUCUUGCUCAAGGGGACAUUCACGUCAACGUUUUUGUUGACCAGUUGAAAUGCGGGGUCAUUAGAAUCCGGUUGAACCGCCGCAAUCCAUGGAAUUUGCAACCCAAUGGCCAAAAAUUAAUUAAAUAAAGUCCGUAUGAUAUUGAUAAUUAAUAGUUCAAUAACUAAUUAUACAUUAAUGAUAAAUCCAUAGAUACCGACAACUCAAUCAAGGGCACGUGUUGGCACGUGCUACAACCCACCGACAUCAAUGAGGCAAAUCGGUUUAAUACCCCUCCUUAUUAUUCAUAUUGACGGAUGUUCUUUUGCUUAUAUAAAUCAUGUAUUAAAAACCAUAGAAUAUAUAUGUACAAAUAGGGAGGUGAAUCAUGGUCGUGUAGUUCUAGGAGCUUACAGAGAUGUUGUAGGAGAUUCAUCAAGAGGGUAAUCAUGUAGUAGAUUAUGUUGUAUCGAUAUAUCUAUAAUGUACUUAAUAUGUAUAAAAGAUAUGUAAUUUUAAAUAAGAAACCAUAUAUGUAGAUUUAGCUAGUUUAAAUAGAAGUUCUAAGACCACCGCGACAACUAGACAACCAUCUUUGUUAAUAGAGGUAGGGAAUAUGUUAUUUGAAUUGGUAGAUAGGAAUUCUAACUUAAUAAGAUUUGUGAAAUGGACAAACUAGACGAGUUUCGUGUUUGAUUUGUAGCUUUGUAAAAUUUUGAGUUGUAAGUGAUGAGGUAUCGUUUUUUGUUAAGUUCAAUUAUUAAUCAGAUUAAUCAACUUAAAGUUCUACCACAAUAUACCUAACUCAGCAUAAACCUCCUAGCUCAGUCGGUAAAAUUAUCCGCUAUUACAAUGAGUAUCCAAAAUUUUCCAAUUUUAAUUUUGAUUAUACCUCAUAUCCACUUCUUCUUAUCAUCGUUGUCCUCUGAAAGAGAAGCACCAUGUUGGUGACAACUUAGGGUUUGUUUCUUCAAUAUGGCUGAUGGGUCACCCAAUUUUGCAAAUGCGAGCCAGCCCAUCAGUGGGCUUUCAUGCUUCCUAAACCCACCAAUGAAUCAAAUAAGGUCCAAAAAUUAUAUCGGCCCAUCAUGGCUACCAUUCUAGUCAUCUCAAGAAUUUAUAUCAAUCACAACUUACCCACCAAGCUUUCUUACCUCAUUCGCGGUUGGUUUAUAUAUGUCUCCUUGCUACACCAUUGACCAAUAAGAUUAAUCGAGUAGUACUCGAAUCGAUGUCGAUGCAUUAUGCUUAUCGCUUCCGUUUCUACGAGCAUCCCUAAUGUGAAAAGGUUUUCCAUCAAGGAAAAUGAAAUAGGGUCUCAUUUAGUAAUCAUUAAUCUCUUGUUAUUAUAGAUGUCAAAUUUAUGGUUAGAAAAGAAUAUUAUAAACGAUAUUUAACACUUGUUGAUCCAUUAUAAGGUUUUUUUAACAUAAAUCACAAUAAAUACCAAACUUAUGAUAAAAACGAGUACUAUAAACAUAUUUGCUACAUAUCAGAUGAGAUUACACACUAAAUCGUAACCCGAAAGGCCUUUAUAUACAUGCAUUUUUCCAUCUAAGUUAAGUUAGUUAGUUAUGGUCAGCCACAAACUUAUAGGUCAUCUAGAAACCAAACCACAGUCAGGAGACAACACAAAGCACAUAAAUGAGACACAAAGCCAACAAAAAAAAGGUUAAUUAGAUAAUUAAAGUAAAAAAGAAGUCCAAAGGUACAAAAAUAUUACACAAGCAUUCUUUCACUAACUACAUUUCCCGUUUUGAUCCUAAUCUUUCUAAAACUAUCCACUAAGUCCCCCAAAACCAAAAACAAAACAAAAAAGUCAUCUAUACUUCAAAGCAAACGCAGUCACCGUCUCUUUCCCAUCUCCGAUCAGUCCACGUCACCACUCCGCCGCCGCACAAGAACAAAGUACCCCAAAACUGCACAAAUCGCCGCCACCGCAUUCCCUUCCUUCAACAGAAUCUUCACCACGAACCCCAAAAUCUCUCGAGUAAUCUUCCUCCCUUCCACCACCAGAACCUUCCUCGGUUUCCCGAAGAACGCCAGCAGCACCACCACCGUUAUCCAUAUCACCACCGUCGCCGGCACCGCCACGGCCAGCGCCGUCGCCAUCGCCAAAACUCCGAACACCGCCCCUAAAAGCACCGACGCGUACACCGCCGGCCAUCCCGACGACGCCGAUGAGGCCGAUUGAUGUUGUAGCUGGUUGUAGUACCAUGAGAGGAUGGAUUUGAGGAGGUUCCAUGAGGAAGAGAGGAGGAUCGAGUAGACGAGAACGAAGAGGAAGACCCAGGUCCGUCGCUUGCUCAUGAUUCGGAGUAGUAAGCUGUACGUCGUUGACGGCGGCUGAGCUUGAGAUGGGGAUGGGGAUGGACUCAGUGGCUCUGGUUCAUCGUCUUGGUCCAUGCGAUGGUGGAUUGAUGACCCUUCGAGAUGAAUUUUGGUGGGUUUGAAUCGGAUUGGACUGGAUUGAAUUGUUGUUGAAGAUCUAAUUAACUUUACUGUUCUCUGUUUGUCUGAAUUAGGGGAAAGAGAAGAGAAGGGAUAUGACAAUGGCAGCUGCAGUGCGGGAGAAAGGAGACUUAAGAGUCCAGCGCGUGGGAGGGUUCACUUGGGAAAAGUCGGGUGGUGGGUUUCACGCGCUUGGAUUUUGGGAAAUGCUUAGGGGUUGUUUGGUACGAUGUGAUAUUAGGGGAAGUUGAUGAACACAUUUGUGAGGUAUUUUUAUUUGUUCGUUCAUAUACAAAUAGAACUGAAAAAUCGGUCGGUUAUGGACAGAUUAGAUUAAAUUUGGUUGGUCAUCUCAUUUGAAUAUGGUUUAAUUGAUCGGAUUUGGUUGGUCAUCACAUCAUAAUCGAAUACUCCUCAAAGUUUUGAUAGUGAUCGUUCUAAUUGAUCUUGGUUGCAUUUCACUAGAUUUGGAUAUGAAUUCAAUGAAAAUAUAUCCGAUUGGUUCCAAAAAAAAUCAUCUUUCGUGUAGACAAAAUAUGUUGGUAACAUGAGUCUGAGCAUUAAACACAUAGGGUUUAAGUUAUUUCACUAUGUUUUUGUCUAUCUUUUUAUUUAACGAGAUAUGUAUCAAAUAAAGUAAUCUAACAUCCACGAACUUCAAAUAAGUAUUGUCCCACUAUUUUACAAUCCUCAGCCUCCUUUGAUUCUCAUUCCUCCAAACAAGUCCUUAGUACUCUAGUGGGUCUCCAUUCUUCUUCCAUCUUCUUAAUUGUGAUGUGAUUUGGGCUUUUUGUGGCAUCUUAGAACUUAAGCAUGGAAUAACAUGUUGAUUUUGGCCUUUGGGGUUUGGAGGUGGGAAAAAGUUGGGUUUCAAAGAUUUGGGCAAAUUGGGUUACUACUUUCAGAAUUUUGUUAUAUUUGACCGGUUGAUGAGUUCGUUUUUUAUUCAAUACAAUUUAGCACAAUACAUAUAAUCAUUUUGGUUUCAUCGUUGAUCAAUUCUUUUGUCUUUGUUGGGGAGGUUUGGCAAAGUCUUCAACUUUACAACUAUGGAAGGAAUCUUCAAAGAGGCCUCAUGUCUUGGCAUGGCUACUUUUUGACCUUUCUUUUAUGUAUAGUUCAUAGCUUUUUCCACUCUUUGUUGAUAAUAGUACAGGCAGGCCAAAUCUUGUCCCAAGUUGUGAAAGAAAAAGUGUUGAAAGUUGGGUACUUGGGUUGGCUGAUUUGGGAAUUGAAUGUAUAGCUUAUAGUAGAAACAACAAUCAUUUUACUCAAGAGUGAAAGCAAAUUAACCUAACCAUUCAGUGUAGAAGAUGGUAGGCAUGUAAAAUGAUAUAUAAUCCUCAUGGUCGAGCUUGGUUUCGUCUUUUAAAUUUCUCCUAAACUUUUCACGAAAGAUUUAAUAGCAAAUUGAGAAAAUACAUAAAUUCGUAAGAUAUUUUGAUUCAAGCGUAGAUAGGUCGCAUCUUUACAUAUAUAUAUGUAUCUUACCGAGCCUCUUUACGAGACAGCGACUAACUAGUGACUAACUCAUCAAAGAAUUUUGCUACAUAAUUCGAUCCCCAAACCUAACAUGAAAAAUGGCAGAAAACUAAUACUCAAUUAGUAGCAAGGAAACAUAAUUUCUAACUCAAUCUCAUAUAUGUAUAAAAAUAUAUCGAAAUCAUUAUGUGGUGCAUUUUAUGAUAUUUCAAUACUUACCUUAAAAAUAUUAGCCAUUUUAAAAUUUUCAAUUUUCAUAUCAAAAUUGAUCAAUUUCCAAAGGGGUUUGGACCAUUUCACAUGAAAAUUUUAAAAUCGGCUAAUAUUUAACAUGUAUAUUGGAAAUGACUAAAAAAUCAAGUUUUAUUUUGAUAACACUAUAAAUAAUGGCCAAAUAAAAUUAUAAAAUUAAUUUUACUCAGUGUUAUAUUAGUUAGGUUAGUGUUAAAAAUUUUAAAAUUAGAUUUACUUUCUAACCAUAAAUGUAAAAUCUCGAUACAAUACAAUCUUAUAUUUUAAAGGUCAGUGGAUACAUUUUUCUAAAUAUACACCUAAUACUUUUCUAAUUCCGUAAAUUAAAACAUCCUAAAUUCGUAGCCCGGUGAUUAUAGACCUAUUGGCCCCUCACAUUCACCAAAUUAGAAAAAUGAAAAAUGGGAAAUCUUGGACUAGUUUCCUCGAUUUGGCUCCCUUUACACAACAAAUGAACAAAACUACUUUAGGCAAUCAUGAGGAUGAACACCACCUUACUUGAAUAAGGAAAAAAAAAUAAUGAUCAUGACCAUGGUCCUGUACUGGUGACACAGACACCACGGUAGUGGUGUGAUUGAUGUCCUCAUUGUAAUUUUCGAUCUAUGAGCUAAUUUCUUCGACAUUGGAAAAUCCGUUCUUGAUGCCGGCUUCAAAAUUCGGAGAACCUAGAAGAACAUGACGGUCGAUUGUCAUCUGACACAUUUGACUCAAAAGCUUCUUGCUUAGGCUAUAGUCUUUUGAGGUGCAUGUUCUAAAAGUUUUUAAUUUUGUUAUCGAUCCUCUCCUGGCAUGUAGGUCGCAAUUACUGACCAUCUGGAAAAAUUUGAAAACAACAUAAACACGAGAUUCCAGCUAAGUAAGGAAAAAUCGACUUAAAACAAAGUUUUUAGAUUGUAUAUGUGAAGGAUUGUCGAAUCUUAAGUUGUUGGUAAAUGUUUAUAGAGUAUACAAUUUGAAUCCCAAUCUAACAAAGAUAAAUGCAUGCUAGGACCUCGCAUGGGAUCUAAUUCGAUCGAAGACUGAUAUUUUACACACCAUCAUUACAUUGCUAUAUAUACUACAAUAAAAUGCAGUUUUAAUGACUAUCAAGUUAAUUAGUGACCAUUUUCAAGUUAAUUAGUGACCAUUUUCUAAAAAUGGUCAUCGGUGUGACUUUUUUUGUAGCGGUCCUGUAACAUAAACUUACUUUAAUGACUAUUUUAUCUAGCGGUCCCGUAACUAUGGCCCCGAAAACUGCAUUUUCUUGGAUUGAUCAAAAGACGGUGAUCAUAUACUUACUUAUUCCCUAGCGUUUCAUGCAAGGCAACGAUGGUGGCUUCCUCCUCCUGGGUAAAAUUCCCCCUCUUGAUAUCCGGCCAGAGAUAGUUGAGCCACCGGAGCCGGCAGCUCUUCCCGCACCUCGCCAAGCCCGCAUCCCGAGGCAACUGGCACCAGUUCCGGCAGCCGAAUCUCUAAUGAUUCAAUCGCAAAUACCAACCAGUCGUCUAUACAUAGAUUGAUUUACACAUACGGCGUUCUAACUCAGCCAUAAAAAAGAACCAAAUUGUGAUAGCAAAAUUCGAAACCAGACCGGAUCUCGUAAGUUUCCUUUUAAAUCAAAGAGAUCGUUAAGAUUGAUACCAACAGCCAGCCUACUGUUAAUGAAGAGAUAAUCUCCUCGACAUUGUUGAUAUCAGCCAGAGCUCUGCUGAAAACACAUCAAUCAACAGGAUAAUGCCAAGGCUGUGCUUUCUCAAGUGCCAUAGCUAUGCUGAAAUCCUGUCAGAAGCAAAUGCUGUAAUCCAAUCUAAAUCUGGAUUGAUGUGCAUAUUUUUAAACUAUUUGUAUAAUCAGCAACAAGUAUAUUAUACAGAGCCCGGCGACUGUCUGGUGGAGUCCUCCGGGAUAGCAGAGGGAACUCGUUUAGAAACGUCAGUAGUAGGUUUAGAGUCUGCCAUCUCCUUAAUUUGCUGCAAUUGAAACAACGAACAUGAAUCAUGGAAUCAGAUCUAUAUUCUGUAACCCUAAAAUCUAUAAGAGAAUCAACAAACAAGACCUACUGUCCCCCCUCGGCGCCUACAAAAGAGUUUUACCGAUGAUCACCGCCACCCAAACGAUCGGAAAGUAAACCGGAAAUUAAAAAGAGAGGUAGAGAGAACAGAAAAUUACCCCAACUCGAAGACCUAAUUGAGCGACAAAGUGAGACGCCGAUGAGAAGUUCUGAAUUGCUCGAUGUGUGCUAUCGUUUAUAUAGAAACCCAAAGGAAAAAAUUAUAGUCGUUGGAAGGUGAGGCACCGACACGUCUUCGUUCGACGGUGCGGCAGUUACGCUGCGGGUUUUUAUUUUUAUUUUUUUAAUCACGCGGCGGAUGAUUAAAUGCAGGGACAUUUGGCCUGAGUCUGUUUCGCCAGCUGGAGAAAAGUAGCCGUUGGAACGGUAAUCCUGCCAGCUUUCUGCAUAUCACGUCAGCAUCCAAUCCAUCGCAGAAACGAAGAAGAGUGAACAGCAGAGCAAGAUUGAAGCUGAUAUAAAAUUUACCGCCGCCGUCACUAGACACGUCUAUUUUCAUCUUUUCCGUUUACUCCAUUAGCUGCCUGCUGCUCCGACGAGUAAUUCGGCGGUCCAGUGGUCGCCUCAAGCGGUGGAGCAGUGGAGGUGAAAGCUGACCGGAGGUUGGAGAUUAAUGGGCGGCGGCGGCCAGUAUUAAUGGGCAAAAACAUAGAAGGCUGAAGCCCAUCAUAGAUAAAUCCACAGUGCAAUCGUAGCCCAUGAGAGACUAACUGAACUAUGGGCUAAGAACGAAUUGGUCAGUCUACCCGAAGCACAUUACGAAAUAGGCAUUAAUUCGAAGAUUGGGAUGUUUAUUGAGCAUCUACAACUAUGUCAUAAUAAAUUCAAAGUUAUUCAAUCCACAUAAUGUAAUAUGUAAAAUAUAUUUUGAGAUAAUUUGAUAUUUAUUUGGAAGACUGUAGCUGAUUUGGUGAUCCGUCGAAUCAACAUUUUGAAUGGAAUUUUAACGGGUCAAAAAUGAGAAAUUAACAAUAUAGGGAUAUCUAAAAUCCUUUUUUAAGUUAAUUACUUUAAUUGUAUGGUUAGUUAAAUACUCUUUGUGUUAUAGAUAUGUUUGAUGCCACACAUUAAUUAAUUAACUAAGACUCUUGACAUUUUUUUAUAUUACUAACGGGAGAAAUCAAAGCAGUAAAUAAAAAAAAAUCAAUUCAAAUUGUGAGAUGAAAAGUAAAAAUCUUCGACAUUUGUAAAAGGUAAAAUAAAGACCCUUAGAAUCAAGUUACAAUAGUGAUUAACCAUUAACACUUGGUACUAGUAAACCCUCAUAUAUACUGAAAUUCAUCAGUACUGUUAGUCCCAGUACGGCAAAAACAUAUCACUCCGUAAUGUAUCGUACUGACCGAAUUCCUCAUAGCUCAAAAACGGUUGUGACAAGAUAUAGUCACUAAUGAGAUCCCCCAACUCAUCAUUGCUUGAAUUCGUCGAGAAAUUGCUCCCGACAGAUAUCUGAUGAUCAGGAGAAUUCACAAAUGACAGACAAAUUUUACAAUUUAAACGAAACAAAAUAGAUGUAUUACACUGUCGCAAUUCUUCUCUAAUCAAAUCAUGCCCUUUCGGGUCUACUAAUUUGCUACCUAUUUAGUAUUCUAAUCCGCUCUUUCGAGACAAAAAUCUAAAACCCGGUAGGUGAUUUACCGAUUUCGAAUUGCUCACACGACAGACUAGUUCAUUCGCUCCUGGAUGAGGGUUAACGUCUAACCUAGUUAUUUGAUUUCGGCGUUCUAGAUAUACAAGCUCUUUCGAGUCUAAGACAAAUCUAACAGAGAUUCAUUCAAAUUGAUUAAGCAAGAACAAAUCGAAAACGAAAUCAAAUAUGCAAUAAAAUCCAUCUAACUCGCAUAAAUCGUCAAACUUAUCAAAUCAUUUGUUCAUAGGAAUUAACCUAGGGUUGAUCUAAUAUAAGCAAGAGAAGUUUAGCGGCUCAUCAUCUCGAGAGAAAAAUCAAAAUCAGAAGAGGAAGACAUUGAUUCUAGGUUUACACAAAGAUUAUGAGAAACCUAAUUUCACCGAUCUUUUUCGAGAACUUGAUUCGCCAUCUUGAUUAUUUCGCCGAUCUCGAGCUCCUUGAAGUCGCUUUCUCGUUGCUCUCGAAUCUCUGUAUUUCUCUCUAAAUUUCGUCCAAAGAAAGUCUAUGAAUUAAUGAGGGAGAGCUGGGUUUUUAUAGAGAAGGACUCCUUGAGCCUGUCGGAUACCAAAAGUGCGCUGUACACGGACUAAAAGUGCACCGUACACUUUUGGUCUAUUUACGGCACACUUCGGUCUAUUUUACAGAGAUCUAUGAACUACAAAGUUGUAGAAAAUUGAACUAUCUUUCCAACGCCGCCAGCCUUACAUCAAUCGGACUUUGAAGCUAAGAGAUAUAUCCAAAAUACGAAACUGCGAUAUCCUAAACUAAAAUGCUUCCCAUUAUUUUUCCUAAAUCAUUCACACACUGUAUCGCGCUCUGAUUAAUGCCUCGCCAGUAAAAAAAAUGAAGAAAUUCCAGUUCUGUUCAUGUCUUCUUCUGUCAUUUCCCAAAGUACAUACAUAGCCAGAUUUCAACCAUUUCUGAACUUGCUCAUCAAUGUUUACAAUUAAAACCUCCAUUUCUUUCCAGCUACAUAAGAACAAUAACCUCUAGAAGGUGGCAGCAGUAACUUUUGUCAGCUAGCUUCAAUGGAGUAGCUUGGAAUCUAAAAGCCAGAGCGAGGGUCCCUUUACAUUGCAGUCACUGAGGAUAAACUAUGGAGGAUUAUAUGGUUUUCAAAAUAGUAUCGAUAUAUGUGGGUCGAAUUGGUGAAUUUUAUGUUGGAAUAUGUGGUUUAAGCGGUAAAAUCGUUGCAAAUUAUAGUAGAAUUGUGAUUGAAGUAUUGCAAUCGUAUUAGUAUGAACGGUCUGGUUGGUUGGACCUUGAACUACUCGUCAAAAUGUAAUAAGAUAAUGACUCUUAAGAGAGUUAUCAUCUUAUUUAAGUGAGUUAUUUGGGUGAAAAUAACUUGUUUGACAUCCAAAAAUAAAUAUGUGACGUUUCGGGUCGUGAGUAUUUCAAAUAAUUCAAUUUGGGGUUCUUUCAAUACCUCUCUACCUCUUAGAUAUUUGAAAUACCACAUUGUUUCGAGUACUUUAGCCUUUCCGUUUAUAAAAAAACCAUGUAUCGAUUGAGUUACCUCAUUAGCCAACCAUAGCCAACCAUGAUAAUUCUCAUUGCAAUUCAUAAAUCUCACAUUCUUAAAUAUGACAUCAUUUUAAUCCAAAAUAACACAUUCAAACGAUCUUUUAAAUCGUUAUAAAUUACAGUCGAACCAUAAUUGAAACACUAUUUAUUAUUAAGUAGUUCUGCUUAAAGUAUUUUUACUAACACAAUCACACAUACACGAUUAUCUUACACCAAGUGAAUGAUCUUAAAGAGAUAAGACCCCAUUUGGCAUAAGAUGGCUUCAUCGCUAUCUAUCUUUCAACAAGUCUGUUUUAAAGUCGGUGAUCAACAACAUAAUUAUUAUAAUUACUCAACGAUUCUACGACAGAUAUUAUUAUAGCAACAUUAGUUUCACCGAUUCAAUCUCCGAUACAAGCUUUAACUCAUAUUGUUGAGGUUAUAAAGGAACCCUAGUGGCAACAAAUACUGUAGAUUCAAACACUGAUGUCAGUAGCAGAGAUCCAGCUCAUGGGCCAGUAAUUUUCAUCAUUGUAGCAGACAAGAUUAUAUGCAAUAAUGCUGCUGCUUCAGUGGUCCUAAAGGAUUUCAAAUUUUACUUUGUUUGGAUUUUGGAAUUCGGCCCAAUUCCUGAGCCAAUUUGAAAUUAUGAAAAUUUCGAGUUUGAGUACGUCGGUUUAAACCCUAAACUCGUCGGUUUUAUUGGAGUUUGAAUUAUCGAUACAAAUCUGAUUCCCAGAGCACUUGAAGUUUAGAUUCCAAGUGGUUUCAAUCGGAUUGAAUCCUCCACUAAAAUACCUCAAAAAUUAAAGAAAUAUACAUUAGAUUCUAUCAUUUCUUACUCUACAUUAUAAGCUAUAAUUCUAACAUAUUUAUUAUUUAAAUUCGCAUCAUUUUCUCUAGUAAUGUAACUCAACUCUUCACGAUCACCAUGUGUUUCGUACGGAACGAGUUUAUUUACUAUUUUUUCAUAUGAAAAAACAAUUUUUUAUGUAAACAUAUAACUUAAGAUUCUCUAGAAUACUUCAUCCCUUUUUCGAAAUUUUUUCACCAAAAUUCUCAAUUCAAAAUUGAAUUCCAACACUUCCAAACCCUCUCUCUAAUCAUACAUUUCUCUCCAUUCCAAUUACACAAAAAUUUCAUUAUAUUUCCUAAUAAAUACCCAUUACAACAUUCAAAAAGUCUCAAUUAACACAAUAUCAUAUCACGAACAAUCACAAAUAAUUUCUCAAACCCCUUGGAACAUUUAGAAGUUAGAAUUCCUAAGAUUCUGUCGUAAAAGAUCACCUGAACAAAACCUCAACUCAGAAUCGAUUCCCGACCGAUCUCUAGUCAUACAUUUCCCUCCAGUUGUAAACCAAGAAGAACCCCCAAGAACUCCCCAACAAAACAUCCCCCGCAACCUGCUUCGGCCAGUCCCGAGCCAGAUCCUCGACCCUCCGUUCGAACCACACUCUCCAAACCGCCAUCGCCACAUGAAGCACCACGCAACCCUUCGCGAAAAAGCUCUGAAACUCUCGGUCCUUCACGAACCCGACCAUGAAAACCAGAGACCCGACCAUACAGAGUAGCAACCCCGCGAACGAGCACGAAGUCUCGAUUAGCAACCGGUCGUGCGGGGUCGAACCGAGUAACAACUUCUCGGCCGUUUUGGUUCCGUGGCCCAGGGAGCUGAUCUCCUCGAGGCAGAACAUGAUCGAGAUUCCGCACGUGACAGCGAUCGUCGCGUGCAGAAUGCAGAUCGUGAAGAACAUUGAUGAUGAUGAAGAAGAAGAAGGCAUUUUGAUGAUCCUGGAACUAUAAUGAAGAGAAUAUUGUGGGGGGUUUUAAUGGAAGUAGCCAUUGUUGAGAGUUUCAAGGUGAUCUGAUCUGACCUGGAAUCUUGCUAGCUAGUGAUAGCUCACAGCUCAUGAAAGAAUGGGAAAUCUGUAAACGUGUUUUUGCCUUCUUUGCUUCAUUUUUAAUUCAAUUUUUUUUCUCGAGAUGUGUGCCGGUUUUAGGGUGGUGAGUCGACGAGUUCGGUUUUGGGGUGAAUCGGAUCGAGUGAUUGAAUCCGAGACGAACCAAUCUUGACUUGGGAUUAGUGGUUAUUUGGGGGCUUUUGUUUUAUACUAAAUGCAUGUGGGCUCACAGACGAUUAGGUUGCGACCCUUCCACAAACUCCACUACAAUAGUGUGUAGUGAGAUUUAUGGUUUGGGGCGAUAAGGAUUAGGGUUCGUUAUAUUAUAAUUAGGUAAAAAAUUGAUUUACGAAUAUGUUAUAAUUUUAUUGUAAUUGAAACUUUGUGAGUAGUAAGAGUUGAUGAAAAUUGAUAUGAUUCGAUUUAAUAUUAAAUCUAUCUAACAAAAUCAAUUAAAAUGGAUAAGAACACUAUAAUUUUAGUUAUUCAAAGCCUCCUUUUUAUGGUAAAUCCUCAUCUCAUUAUCAUUGUCGCAAGUUCGUACAAAGAGAGUACACAGAGCACUACUGGACCGAUUAAGAGAGGUAUUUAGGGUGGUGAGCCAACGAGUUUAAUUUUGGGUUUAAUUGGAUCGAGUGAUCAAAUUGAAGUCGAACCAAUCUUGACUUGAAAAUAGUGGUUACUUGGGUCUUUAUUAUGUACUAGUGUGUGUAAGCUCACGAAUCGCCUCCAAGCUUAUUAUGGUAGAAAUUUGCANNNNNNNNNNNNNNNNNNNNNNNNNNNNNNNNNNNNNNNNNNNNNNNNNNNNNNNNNNNNNNNNNNNNNNNNNNNNNNNNNNNNNNNNNNNNNNNNNNNNNNNNNNNNNNNNNNNNNNNNNNNNNNNNNNNNNNNNNNNNNNNNNNNNAUUUUGUACAAACAUUGUACAUAGAGCAUUUAUGUACUGAUAAGGAGAGGUAUUUACUCGUAAUAGCUUUAUAAGUAUAAAAUUAAGAUUGUCUGACUAAUAUAUGGACAAUCUGAUUCUAUUCCCAUAGAGGCAUGAAAACGAUAAUUAUGUGUGUAAAUUGUUUCAUGAUAUUGUUUUUAAAUUAAAAAAAGAAAUUUACACUUGUUCUUUAGGCAUAAUGGCUCAUUGAAGAUUUUUUCUCACUAGCUAGACACAAUCAUAAGAGGUAGUUAAUGAUGAUGGUACAACUUUGAUUAAUUAAGUACUAGAUNNNNNNNNNNNNNNNNNNNNNNNNNNNNNNNNNNNNNNNNNNNNNNNNNNNNNNNNNNNNNNNNNNNNNNNNNNNNNNNNNNNNNNNNNNNNNNNNNNNNNNNNNNNNNNNNNNNNNNNNNNNNNNNNNNNNNNNNNNNNNNNNNNNNNNNNNNNNNNNNNNNNNNNNNNNNNNNNNNNNNNNNNNNNNNNNNNNNNNNNNNNNNNNNNNNNNNNNNNNNNNNNNNNNNNNNNNNNNNNNNNNNNNNNNNNNNNNNNNNNNNNNNNNNNNNNNNNNNNNNNNNNNNNNNNNNNNNNNNNNNNNNNNNNNNNNNNNNNNNNNNNNNNNNNNNNNNNNNNNNNNNNNNNNNNNNNNNNNNNNNNNNNNNNNNNNNNNNNNNNNNNNNNNNNNNNNNNNNNNNNNNNNNNNNNNNNNNNNNNNNNNNNNNNNNNNNNNNNNNNNNNNNNNNNNNNNNNNNNNNNNNNNNNNNNNNNNNNNNNNNNNNNNNNNNNNNNNNNNNNNNNNNNNNNNNNNNNNNNNNNNNNNNNNNNNNNNNNNNNNNNNNNNNNNNNNNNNNNNNNNNNNNNNNNNNNNNNNNNNNNNNNNNNNNNNNNNNNNNNNNNNNNNNNNNNNNNNNNNNNNNNNNNNNNNNNNNNNNNNNNNNNNNNNNNNNNNNNAUAAUCAAGAACUUACUUGUUCCAUGGACAUUAGAUAUUGUAAGGUGAUUACCUUACAACUUUGACUCGAUUUCGAAAAUUCAACAUAUAUAGUAAUUAAUAACAUGUCAUGAUUUAUGAAUUAAAAAUAUGCUCGAUAAUUUUAUUUUCAUAUUGUUUCCCGCCCUAAUAGACUUUUUGUAUAAAACACUAUUUCCUGCCUUCUAAUCAUUUAACAAAAAUUUAAUUGAUUAUGUUCCGAAAGGUAUACUUCAACAAUACACAUACCUUAUAUGUAUCAGUAAUCCAAUAUGUAAUAGUUUUUUUAAAUUUCACCAGAAUUUGAAAUUACUCUCAAUAACUUAAAUUUGUAUCCUAAUUGACCGGUUCGAAUUCGAACGUAAUGAUUAUAAAAUCUAGAGUUUUGGAGAUAAUUAUCGAUUGUUUUGUAUUUGCUUAGAUGGAAACAAAAUUGAAACUAAAACCAGAGAUAAAAAAUACAGAAACUGUGGAUUAAUCCUGCAAGAAGAAUUUGACUGGGUAAACACGCCGGCAAAAAUUCCAUAAUUAUCCACCAAAUCUCUGUAAUCAGAUCGUUCUCUAAAGCCAUCGCCACCACCACCACCACAUAAACCAGUCUUUCCCCCCAGCAACCACGUCGUCAGAAUCUUCAUAUGUGGCAGCUUACUAUUUUUCUUCCCCCGAAAUUGAUUGCAAUCGGACCCUCCAGCUGAAAUGGGAUCAUUUUCCUUUCCCCUUUUUAAUUCCACCUGAAAAUUCAGUCCACACAGCGUCUUUACGGUACCGGGUGCUCCCCCUUCUCCGAUAUUUCGUUGAAAGUUCUGUCCUUUUUCGUUUUGAAUUGGGUUUCAUCAGCUGGGUUGUUCAUGUGAAGCUGAUUUCGUAGCAAAAAAGUGGAAAUGGGGUGUAUUUCUUCCAAAGGAGGGAGCCCUAGGGAGAGGCAAUCAGCCUCACGUAGGGUUGCUCAUGUGAAUACUAUUAGGGAUGAAGGGAUUCGGUCAAGUGGUGGUGAAGUUAAAGUUACGUUGAUUGAGAGGAAGACGACGAGUCGUCAUGGUUCGAUUAGGCCUCACAGUGAUCAGAUGGUGUUGAGAUCAUCAUCAAGGGAGUAUCAGACUGAGAAGAGACGUGAUUCUGCUAGUGUUGUUGCUACUGCUUAUUCGAGAAGUGAGAGGAGGUCUGAUAUAACUGAUUUCAGUGAUCCAGCUUGGGGGAAGGUUCCUAAGAAUUUGGAAGCUGAGCAGGUUGCUGCUGGUUGGCCUGCUUGGCUCGUCUCAGUGGCUGGCGAAUCGAUCAAGGGAUGGAUUCCGAGGAAAGCUAGCUCGUUUGAGAAGCUCGAUAGAGUAUGUUUACUUAACUGUUAGUUAAUCCAUGUUGAUCUUUGUUUUCAUCAUUGAUCUGUUUGUUUGUCAAGUGACAGUAUGUUUCCCCCUUAAUGUUUGUUUCGAAAUUUGAAUCUUUGGAUUGAUUUGUGUUCAGUAUGUAUAACUGUAGAAGGCAUAAGCAUGUGCAUUUGAUGCAAAUCUGGAUGAUAUACUUUAUGAGCUCAAUGUAACGAGUGAUUUUGCUUUGCAGAUUGGCCAAGGAACGUAUAGCAGUGUAUACAAAGCUCGUGACAUUACUCGCGAUAAGAUUGUCGCUCUGAAGAAAGUUCGAUUUGAUAAUAACGAUGCGGAUAGUAUCAAGUUCAUGGCGCGUGAGAUACUUAUUUUGCGCAAGCUGGAUCAUCCGAAUGUUAUAAAGCUAGAAGGAUUAAUAACUUCACCAACUUCGUCCACUUUGUACCUUAUAUUUGAAUACAUGGAGCAUGAUUUAACAGGGCUUGCUUCAAUACCAGGGCUCAAGUUCACUGAAUCUCAGGUAGUCUCAUCAACUGUAUCUAUAAUUCUAUAUAUAGUAUUAUAUACGUAAAUGCAGCAACUUUUGUUUUCUUUAUUUCUCAGAUCAAGUGUUACAUGAAGCAACUUUUAAGUGGACUCGAUCAUUGUCACAGUCGCGGGGUUUUUCACCGUGACAUCAAGGGCUCGAACCUUCUAAUUGACAACAAUGGCGUUCUGAAAAUUGCUGAUUUUGGCCUGGCGAGCUUCUUUGAUCCGAAAAGUAGUGCACCACUUACCAGUCGUGUAGUGACUCUUUGGUAUAGAGCGCCUGAACUCUUACUUGGGGCGUGUAGAUAUGGAGUUGCUGUGGAUUUGUGGAGCAGUGGCUGCAUACUUGGUGAACUAUAUUCCGGAAAGCCCAUCUUACCUGGACGAACAGAGGUGAGAUUCCACAAAUCAAUAAAAUUCCGAGGAUGUGAUUCAUAUGGACGCUACUUGGGUAUGAUCUUUUUCGAUGCUUGUGUCUCAAGUUUCAUCCUUUGAUCUCAUAGGUUGAGCAACUGCACAAAAUCUUCAAGCUAUGUGGCUCACCGUCCGAGGAUUACUGGUUAAAAACAAAACUACAUCGUUCUUCCGUGAUAAAGCCUCAAAGACCGUACAAAAGAUGCGUAGAAGAAACGUUCAAGGACUUCCCUGCUCCUGCCCUCGAGCUUUUGGAGACCUUACUAUCGAUGGAUCCCAGUCAGAGAGGGAAUGCUGCUUUAGUUCUUGAGAGUGAGGUAUGCGAUUUUUGUGUUCGGUAAUUAGAAUCUCUUUCUGUGUACUUUGUUGACAACAUAAGCUUUGUAAUGUCGUUCACAGUACUUCACCACAAGACCGUUUGCUUGCGAUCCUUCAAGUUUGCCCAAGUAUCCUCCAAGCAAAGAAAUUGAUGCUAAAAAGCGAGAUGAAGAAGCUCGAAGGUAACCCCUUGGAAUCUUCAGUUCCUCUUUCUUACAUUUCUUUAUGCUUUUUUCUUGUUAUUGCAGGCAAAAGCAAGCUGCUGCAGCCAUGGGGGAUGGACAAAAUGAAUCUGUGCCCAUCAAGGGACCUACCGUUUUAGCCUACGGAUCCACCACACAGGUAAUACAUAACAUUCUGUUUCAAAUGAAUAUCUGGAAUUCUUUACAGAAUCUUCAGUUCUAUUAUCUGGAUUUAGGUUCUUGUGUGCAUGUCCAUGAAGUUUGAAAGUCUUGUCAUUCUGGGUAUAUAGAAAACUGUAUCCUUUUUUGGUUUCUGUGUGAUUGAACCGAGUCAUUUCGCUCUUUUUUAUUGAAUUGUAGGCUAGUCAACAUUCCUAUUCGACCAAGGACAAUAAAAACUACUCGGGCCUCCUGGUUCAACCUUCUAAGCAAAUCCAAGCUGCAAUGGAGGGAAGAAAGAGCUACAUGGACAACCACCAACGUAGAAAAGUCACGCAUUCAGGGCCACUGGUCAAUGGUUCCGGCUGGACCAAGUCCGGUCGAGAUAACAAUAAUCUGACAACCUCUGGGAUGGUAGCAGCACGGAUUUCGUUGCCUCAAGAUCAUCAGGCCAAACCUAGAGUGGUGGACAAGGGACCGGAUUCUUCGAAGGGUAACAAGAUCUAUGUGUCGGGUCCGCUCCUAGUUCCGUCCAACCACGUGGAUCAAAUGCUGAAAGACCACAAUCGGAAGAUACAAGAAUUCGCCCGGAGGCGGAAAUAGGGGCUUCCAGUAAGGUAGUGAAGCCAAAACCAGAAUGAAAGAUCCAAGUCUGAGGAACAACAAGCUUAACUUGUUCCUCGUACAUCUUUUUGUACAGCAGUGUUUUUUUUCUUUAAUGUUUGUUUCUCAGUACAUUAUGAUGCAAAGGAUUAUGGUCUCUUUUGUAUUGAAUCAAGUGUGGCUUUUCUUAAUUGGCCCCUUGGUUCAUAUGAGAGGGAAUCACACACAGUAUUUAUAGCAGAGUAGGAGCAUCAAAACAAGCUUGUUUAUGAUGAUGUUAACUUUGUGUAGACUGGUAUUUUUCGAUUUCGAAAUGUUGAAUAUGAGUUUUCCUAUUGCGUCUCUCGGGGUUUCCUUCGAUGUACGAGUUUCCUUUCGUGUUUAGGAUUGCAUUAAAGGAAUGUCAAAACUAAUUCCGAUGGCAAAUACGAGUUUCCUUUCGCAUUUUCGAUUGCAUUUACGGAAUGUCAAAAUUGCGCAAUGUUUCGAAAAUGAAAAAGAAUGCGGUGAGCGUGGAUCGAACACGCGACCUUCAGAUCUUCAGUCUGACGCUCUCCCAACUGAGCUAUCCCCGCUGAUGUUUCACAGCUCUUUAUGCAGAUACAAGAUCCCGCUUUCUGCAUCUUUCAAGAUCCUCAAUCCACCAACAAUGAUCCCGGCUACGAACCCUUUUGAUUCGAGAAGCGAUUCCUCGUCUGGACGGACGAAAGAAGGCAAGUUUGUAGUGACCAAGGCAUCACCAAUUGAGGCAUUGUCAUUGCUAAAGCUCCAACCCAAAAUGUGAUGACUCUCAACCAAUUGCCCUGUGGCAGGGGCAAACCCAACGAACAUUUUCGUCGGUGAAAAAGGCAGAGAGGUUCAGAGACUCACUUAUCAAUGCCCUUGACGGCCUGAUCUCCCCUGCUUUAGCCAUCGUCACAUUGAUCGUCGAACCAACAUAGUCGAUCCAUACCUGUCGGGGCAUAAUCAUGAUUAAAAUAUGCACUAAAUGGAAUGUUAAAAUUAAAAAUAUUUAAAUUUUUACUAGAUGGACGAAUUUAUUUAAUUAAAGAGUCAUUUGGAUGAGAUAUUUUUGUCUAAAUUAUCACAUAUGGAUUAUUUGAGCCAAAAUAUGAGAUAUUUUCGUCUAAAUUACCACAUAUAGGUUAUUUUCGUCUAAAUUACCACAUGAUUUAUUUGAGUCAAAAUAAUUUGUUUGACAUUUCAAAUGAAAAUAUGUGGUAUUUGAUAUAAUUCAUUUGUUAAGCUAUUUCAAACACCUUUCCGCUAGCAGGAAUUUCAAAUAAUUUGAUAUUUCCGUCUACUAUAUACUACAUUGAACGAACUCAUAAUCAAACAAAAUAAUUUUUACACCACAAUCCUUCCACUUCACAAAUACCUCAUAAAGACGACAUUUAAAACAACAAAUCAUUUUACUCANNNNNNNNNNNNNNNNNNNNNNNNNNNNNNAAAACACCACAUUUAAACAACCCCUAAACUUAUUAUCCUAAACCAAAUACCAAGGUAAUUAUGUAUACACCGUAAAAAAACUAUUCAUUAUCUUGGUUUUAGUUGAAACAAAUUUCAAUGUUGACACUACAAAAUUAUUCAUUGUUUUAUUUUUAAUUCCAACAGAUUUCAAUGUACCACCGACAAUCUAACAAUGUAACUUGUCUAAAUUUGACCUAUUUUGAUUGAACGUAUAAUUAUUAAUUGGUUGUGAGUAAAUAAUGAAAAAAAAUAUAUUUUAUAUAUAAUUUAACACUCAAAAUUAGAUAAGGAAAUUGUUCCCUCUCUAAUUCUGUCGUGGCCAAACACCAAACCAACUUAAAAAAGGUACCGAACCACCUUCGAGAAAAAGCACAAAAAGUAUACCCGAUUUCAAUGCACAUACGUGGUAAUUCUCCCCACUAUUAAGCCUCAACUCAGCAAAUUCCCCAUCAUCACUCCACACUCCAGCUCUCCUCGGGAAAACAGAGGUCAACGAGUUGACAUCGACACCAACAUGAUUAUCAUUCAAAUCAUUAACCUCCUGAUUCCUGAAAACAUCAAGUUUAGAAAUUCAUCAUUUUUACAUUAAAAGGUCUUUGCUGAUUUAGCUCGUUGAAUUAAAAAUUGUUCGAAUUGUAUAAUCGUUAAUUACACGCAUCAAAAUUUCAAAAAUUUCAAAUUGACUAAUUUCCAAAAAUCAAGUUUCAUUAAGGUAACCCCUAUAAAUAAUGAUCAAAUGUAGUUAAAAAUUAAUUUUACUCUAUACUAUUUUAGCACGUUAAAAAAUGUUUUUAACAUCAUUUGGCUAUUAUUUGAAAGGGUUUAACAUGGUGAAACCUCAAUUUUUAGUCAUUCCCAACAUGCAUGUUAAAUAUUAGCCAGUUUAAAAAAUUUCAAUUUUUUAUGUCAAAAUUGUCAAUUUCCNNNNNNNNNNNNNNNNNNNNNNNNNNNNNNNNNNNNNNNNNNNNNNNNNNNNNNNNNNNNNNNNNNNNNNNNNNNNNNNNNNNNNNNNNNNNNNNNNNNNNNNNNNNNNNNNNNNNNNNNNNNNNNNNNNNNNNNNNNNNNNNNNNNNNNNNNNNNNNNNNNNNNNNNNNNNNNNNNNNNNNNNNNNNNNNNNNNNNNNNNNNNNNNNNNNNNNNNNNNNNNNNNNNNNNNNNNNNNNNNNNNNNNNNNNNNNNNNNNNNNNNNNNNNNNNNNNNNNNNNNNNNNNNNNNNNNNNNNNNNNNNNNNNNNNNNNNNNNNNNNNNNNNNNNNNNNNNNNNNNNNNNNNNNNNNNNNNNNNNNNNNNNNNNNNNNNNNNNNNNNNNNNNNNNNNNNNNNNNNNNNNNNNNNNNNNNNNNNNNNNNNNNNNNNNNNNNNNNNNNNNNNNNNNNNNNNNNNNNNNNNNNNNNNNNNNNNNNNNNNNNNNNNNNNNNNNNNNNNNNNNNNNNNNNNNNNNNNNNNNNNNNNNNNNNNNNNNNNNNNNNNNNNNNNNNNNNNNNNNNNNNNNNNNNNNNNNNNNNNNNNNNNNNNNNNNNNNNNNNNNNNNNNNNNNNNNNNNNNNNNNNNNNNNNNNNNNNNNNNNNNNNNNNNNNNNNNNNNNNNNNNNNNNNNNNNNNNNNNNNNNNNNNNNNNNNNNNNNNNNNNNNNNNNNNNNNNNNNNNNNNNNNNNNNNNNNNNNNNNNNNNNNNNNNNNNNNNNNNNNNNNNNNNNNNNNNNNNNNNNNNNNNNNNNNNNNNNNNNNNNNNNNNNNNNNNNNNNNNNNNNNNNNNNNNNNNNNNNNNNNNNNNNNNNNNNNNNNNNNNNNNNNNNNNNNNNNNNNNNNNNNNNNNNNNNNNNNNNNNNNNNNNNNNNNNNNNNNNNNNNNNNNNNNNNNNNNNNNNNNNNNNNNNNNNNNNNNNNNNNNNNNNNNNNNNNNNNNNNNNNNNNNNNNNNNNNNNNNNNNNNNNNNNNNNNNNNNNNNNNNNNNNNNNNNNNNNNNNNNNNNNNNNNNNNNNNNNNNNNNNNNNNNNNNNNNNNNNNNNNNNNNNNNNNNNNNNNNNNNNNNNNNNNNNNNNNNNNNNNNNNNNNNNNNNNNNNNNNNNNNNNNNNNNNNNNNNNNNNNNNNNNNNNNNNNNNNNNNNNNNNNNNNNNNNNNNNNNNNNNNNNNNNNNNNNNNNNNNNNNNNNNNNNNNNNNNNNNNNNNNNNNNNNNNNNNNNNNNNNNNNNNNNNNNNNNNNNNNNNNNNNNNNNNNNNNNNNNNNNNNNNNNNNNNNNNNNNNNNNNNNNNNNNNNNNNNNNNNNNNNNNNNNNNNNNNNNNNNNNNNNNNNNNNNNNNNNNNNNNNNNNNNNNNNNNNNNNNNNNNNNNNNNNNNNNNNNNNNNNNNNNNNNNNNNNNNNNNNNNNNNNNNNNNNNNNNNNNNNNNNNNNNNNNNNNNNNNNNNNNNNNNNNNNNNNNNNNNNNNNNNNNNNNNNNNNNNNNNNNNNNNNNNNNNNNNNNNNNNNNNNNNNNNNNNNNNNNNNNNNNNNNNNNNNNNNNNNNNNNNNNNNNNNNNNNNNNNNNNNNNNNNNNNNNNNNNNNNNNNNNNNNNNNNNNNNNNNNNNNNNNNNNNNNNNNNNNNNNNNNNNNNNNNNNNNNNNNNNNNNNNNNNNNNNNNNNNNNNNNNNNNNNNNNNNNNNNNNNNNNNNNNNNNNNNNNNNNNNNNNNNNNNNNNNNNNNNNNNNNNNNNNNNNNNNNNNNNNNNNNNNNNNNNNNNNNNNNNNNNNNNNNNNNNNNNNNNNNNNNNNNNNNNNNNNNNNNNNNNNNNNNNNNNNNNNNNNNNNNNNNNNNNNNNNNNNNNNNNNNNNNNNNNNNNNNNNNNNNNNNNNNNNNNNNNNNNNNNNNNNNNNNNNNNNNNNNNNNNNNNNNNNNNNNNNNNNNNNNNNNNNNNNNNNNNNNNNNNNNNNNNNNNNNNNNNNNNNNNNNNNNNNNNNNNNNNNNNNNNNNNNNNNNNNNNNNNNNNNNNNNNNNNNNNNNNNNNNNNNNNNNNNNNNNNNNNNNNNNNNNNNNNNNNNNNNNNNNNNNNNNNNNNNNNNNNNNNNNNNNNNNNNNNNNNNNNNNNNNNNNNNNNNNNNNNNNNNNNNNNNNNNNNNNNNNNNNNNNNNNNNNNNNNNNNNNNNNNNNNNNAUUUACAUAUAUCAAUUUUGAUCGAAUUAUCAUAACUUAUUCGAUAAAUAUUACAUACCUAUUGUUAGGUACGAUUGAAAUCUUCUCACCUCUAAAUUAUCCAAAAUUAAUCCCUAUUUGCUAACGUGAGUACUUACUUUGUUAUUCUAUCAAUCCCUAACAACAAUCUAGCAUUAAUAUACAUAAAAUAUUGUCUAUUUUUUAGUCAAAUCCGUAUGAAUUUAUCAUCAUAAUUAGCAGGCGGGCUUUUUUAGCUAAACAAAUUUGCCUCUAAUUAAAGUAAAUAUCUGAAAUGACAUCUUCACCCCUUGCAAUUAUUGUCCAGUGGAAGGAAACAUCAAUGAUGUUGGUGGUGAAGGUAGUAAUUAUUAUUUAAUUGGUCAUUAUUAGUGAAGUAAUACAUCACAUAUCUUCUGUUUGCCUAAGUGAAACCAAAUAAUAAUUAGUGCAUUUUGUUACAUUAUCCUAAUUGUUUCUUUUUGCUCACCUUUUCCUUUCUCCAAUCAAUUACCAUCAUAAGAAAACAAAAAAAUGAUUCGUACGUAGAUGGGCCAUGCGUGCACAUUCAUGCAUGAAAAUGGCACUCAGAUGUGCUCAUAGUUCAGUCACAAUGGCACUACUCUACUCUCUUGUAUUCCUAAUUGAUAUCAAAAUAUAUAACAUGUCCUCUUCAAACGAAACGAAAGCUCAUAAUCUUUUUCGAAAUGUAUAAAUUUUGACAAAUUCAUGUUCAUUGGGUUAGGAGUUAUCAGGGAUUCAAAACUAGUCAAACAACUGUGUGAAAACAUCCAAUGGGGAUUGAUUGAACCCUAUGUAAACCGAAGACGCUGAUUUGGAGUCAGACACGCUACCAUUAUAUUGCGCCAAGGAUCUCUGGGAUGUUAUUUUUUUAAUAUAUAUUAGAUUAGCCCCGUUAUGGUUAUAGGUUAACCAGAACCUAUAUAUAUAAGGAGCGUUAGUCUCCUUUUUGUAAUUAAGACGAUCACUUUCAUCAAACCACCUAAUAACAUUCGACUUUCUCUCCAUUGACUAGUCGAUCUCAAGGUCAAAAACCACAAUAAUCACUUAUAUUAUUAUGCUAUUAUUUCGUUAUUAAUCAGCUAUUAUUCUUUCUUUAUUCCUCUUUUAUCCAUAUUUAUCAAUUUACGACCCAAAAUCUACUUCAUUUAAUUGAAUAACCUUCAUACUUAACAUGAUGGGUUGACGAUGUUCAUGAAGUAUAUGACACCCGUGACUAAAUAUGUUUAGUACGAGAAAAACAUCCGUGAUUGUUUCAACAAAGGUUAUUUCGGAAUAAACUAAUCCUACAUUAUUGUUCAUUCCCAAUAAUUCAUCAAUUAAGUUCAAAUUUCUUCAAUAUUCAUAUGAUCAUCCACACAAGAAUACAGAGCUCCCAAACUUGCAACAUCCAGAAACAGAGGUAAUUCACUUAUUCAGUGGUCCCAUUUUUCUUUUGUUUUUUUUUUUGGAAUUUUCCAUGCUGAAUAAUAAUGUGAUCAGAAUAUGCUUUCAAAUUAUGAUAUUCUAUUUUGUGGAAGAAAAACAAAUCCAAUUGGGAAAUUUGAACCCUACGAUAAAUUAAACACGCAACUUUUGAAUUGGGGUCAAACGUGCUACCAUUGCGCCAAGGAACCUUUGGAUGUUAUAUUACUACCCAAAUAUAUUACAUUCGUUACUUGAUAUUUUUGAAUUUUAUCGUCAUAUUAUCAAUUUUAGUUAACUUGUUCAAUAAUNNNNNNNNNNNNNNNNNNNNNNNNNNNNNNNNNNNNNNNNNNNNNNNNNNNNNNNNNNNNNNNNNNNNNNNNNNNNNNNNNNNNNNNNNNNNNNNNNNNNNNNNNNNNNNNNNNNNNNNNNNNNUUAAAAUAAAUAAAUUUCAUUAAAAAUUGGUCUAUGUGACAUUGCUAACAAAAUUUUUAAUUAAAAAAUUUUUAACAAAUAUUUUUGUGGUCGAUCUGUCACCUAACCUUCUUUAAAACCCGUCGUGACCCAACCUGUGAACGCAUUAUUCUUGAUAGUUCAUAAGUUUUGUAGACCAUAGCAAGUAUAUAGUCAAGCCUCUCUUCUCAAUCAUAAUAAUUCAUUAUGUUUAUUACGAGUAAAUUAUUUUCAACGUGCUAGAAAAAAUUGAUCUUUAUGGUUGUUAGGGAAAUGGGUUUUUCUCUUAUGAAUCGGAUCCACACUCAAAUAUCUAUCAUCUCGUACAUAUACAUAAUUCGAUAUGUUAGAAAUCGCUAGACAAUAAAAAAAUAGAAAAUAGAUUGGAAGAGACCACACUAAAUGAUUUUUACGUGAAUGAUCAUUGUGGGCAAAAAUCACGAGCACACCGUAGUAACGAAAACUCUAAUAUAAUCUCACAAUAUCUUAAAUGACUAAAUAAAAGAUAAUUGUAUCCAUAAAAAGAGAAUAUGAAUUAUUAUUGAACGAAUAGUAUUGGAAUCUUUUAAGAGGGUUUUAUUUUGAGUUUAUUGGACUUUUAUUGUAAGUUUACUGUAACUUUAUUUUAAAUGUGCAAGUAAAAAUUGAUCUUUACUGUUGUUAGGAAAAUGAGUUUUUUCUCUUAUGAUUCAGGAAACUCAAAUAUCUAUUAUUCUCCAAUCCUAAUAUAUAUGUACGUAAUUCAUCCAACAAUAACAAUAUUUUCAAGUUAUUUAUAUCUGAUAAGGAAAAUCGUCAUUUUCAUCCAACAUUCUAUCUACCAAAUUAAAUUUAUCUCAGAAAGGGACCAGAACCUUCUUAAUUGGCACAAAAUCUGAAACUUGGAUCUCCCUGUUACCACAUGAUCUUUGAAACCUCUUCAUCGUUUGUUUUGUCUCCAACAAUUAACCUGGCUCACCUUCUUUUUAGGCCCUUCAUAUUUCAGGCAGAGAAUGAUGCCACGUGUAAUAAUCUUUGUUCUCUUUCGGUCUAUCAAAAGUUCGGGUGAAUCACUUUGUACAGAUCGAUUUAAAAAAUUAAUCGUGGAUGAGUUGGGUAUACAUGGUUGGUUGAUCAGAUAAAUAACUUGUUAUAUAAUAAGGUGUAUAUAGUAGAGGAAUGAGAGGAUAGAGAGUAUAUAUAUACAUAUAUAUAUAUAUGGAAAUAUUGAGAAANNNNNNNNNNNNNNNNNUGAGAAAUCGAGAAGUAUUAUGGAUAUACGUAGGGAAUGUAAGCCAUAUUUAGUAUGUGAAGUAAUUUUUAUUACUCUAAAAGAUCAAACUAUACUUUUCUUCCUUCAAAUUCAUGUUAAAUUUUGAUCAAAUUAUAGUUUGAUUAGGAGAUUUUAUUUAUGACUUUCGAGAUUUAUACAUACAAAAUUACAAUGGUAGGUGCAUGGCCAAAGCCAGUAAAUAUAAAUCUACACUAUUGUUUUGUCAUUACAUGCCAGGAGGUCUUUAUUUGCAAAUGUUACUAUUCAUGCAAGUGUGUAUAAUUUUUCUUUCUGGGUACAGCUAAAGCAACCUAGUUGAUUAACCCACAUAAGGUAAAAUUUUACUAGAGACAAGUAACUAUUAGUUUCAUACUUAUUAUUAUUACUUUAUUGUCAUGAAAGUGAUUUAUUAGAAGUAACAAGUGCAUGAUUGGUGGAUGAGUGGUACACAAAUUGUAUAUUAUAUAAUUACAUUUCGUAACUAAUGCUAAAUAAAAAAAAUUAAGAUACAUCUAUAAUUCUCACCAAUAAUAGUAAUAGUAAAGUUUUGAUGGAUCGUCCUCCCAGUUCUAAGAUAAUGAUUAGUCUUAUGAGAAUAUUCUAACUUUCUAGUCCUAAUUGUAAGUUAUAUACCAAAGAAUUUUGUUCGCAUAUCCUAAUGGUAUAUCCUAUAUACACUAAUUCUUAAAAUUUUCAUGUAGUUAGGAUGCCACUUGGGAUCUUUUCAUGUAGGGAAUGUACUUUGGACGAAAUAAACAACAACAUUUUUAUUCGUUCUAACGGUUUGAUUUGAUCGAUUUUAGUCAAAAAAGACCAUCCAUCAUAAUGCUUUCUAACCACAACGAACCAUCUGACGAAGACUUCCCGACUCUUAUCUUAUAGUCGACCGGUCCGGUCCAAUUCUAAUGCUCUCGAGCCUCAACACAACUAUUAGGAUACUCAUACGACAUACUCAAUUUUGGUUUUCCUAACCGGUUUCAGUUUUUCAUGGAGUGGAAUAAUUCCAAAGCAUAUACAUCCUUAUCCUCUCCCCAACCCACACAACAACAGCCCAUGCGUAGGUCCCACUCCUACGUGGAUCUUAGCUGUCCUACCCGAAACUUCAUGUUCGCCGCGUUUCUGUUCGUCCACGUCGGACAAUCUGGGUCCCACCCCGAAAAUUCCUCUUCUUCCACUAUAAGUUUACGAUAAAACCUCACGUGAAAAAUCCAACAAAGCCAGAGAAAGAAGAAGAAACAGAGACAAUGGCGCUUUACAGAUGGAGCUCCGACAGAUUCUCCGACGACUCAGCCAGCUUCUCCGACAUCAUUUUCGGCUUCUCCAGCGAACCCAGCGACGAAAAUUCCUCCUCCAACAGCUCAUGUACCAGCAGCUCCGGCGGCGGGGGUGGUGGUUUCCCUGACGACGACACGGCGGAGGAGAACAACUCCGGCAAUUCCGAGGAGCGGAAGAAGUUCUGGGAUUCCCAGAACGAACUCCUUCAGGUAGAAUUCAUGAUUCCGUACGGAAUUGGGUUGAAGUUUAAAUUUUUUUAAUCCAGUUAUGCUGAAAGAUUCGAAUUUCGAACACUGUUUUUUUUCACAGGCGACAUUGUACAGAACUUCUUCUCUGGAAUCGAAGAUUCGACAGUCGACGAAAGAUUCCCUCACCGAGAUCGAGAAUGUCGGACUGAGUUGCGUGUGCGGAAAGUCCGACGCCUCCGGCUGCCGGAAUUGCCUCCGGAGGGAAGUCUCCGUCAGGCUGAGGAGCAGAGGCUAUAAUUGCUCAAUCUGCAAGUCUAAAUGGAACGGAGGGCGAAACGGUCUUUUAGCUGGUAAAUUGGGGGAAAUGUAAUCUGAUUUGAAUUUGAUUCAUCAAUUUAUAAUUAAAGAUUGAAUUAGAGAUUGAUUCCUAAGCAGGGGA
rnacentral:lncRNA from 1 species